rnacentral:lncRNA from 1 species
UCCACAAAUGUACAAUUGGGGGAUCUCAAAAGCAAAAACAAUAACUUACUUUUAGGAGGAGCUGGAGGUAACCCAUUUGGGAACUCUAUCAAACUAGCAAGACCAAAGGAGACAUCUUUGCCAGUUUGAAGUGCUCGUUGACGGGUAGUGACUGUCAUUUCCUUCUUAGAGUCUGCUGAUAGAUCAGCUAACUCUUUUCUUGGCUUCUUCCUCUUCAAUGUAGGGUCACCAUCCGAGCCCAGAUCUUCAUCUUCCACAUAAUCAGUAUCAUCAGAUAUUCUCCCUGAUUUAGAUUUCUUACCCUCCUUGCCAAACCUAGUUGAGCCAUCAACUCCAGCAUCUACAUCAUUCAGACCAUCAACAUUUCUCUUCAAUACUCUCAAUAUCUUACGCUGUUUCCUGCUUCCUCCCUCUUCCUCUUCAAACCCUGCACCAUGAUUAGUGCUGAUCUUCGAUGUCUUGACUUUUUCAAGGAACUGAAUCUCAUCAUCAUCCUCAGCUCCACCGUCAAGAACUCCAUCUAAUAGGCGUUUCUUAGGGAGCCGCUUGCUCUUACGAACUGGCUCAGACUGAUCAGUUUGCUUUGAAGACAGAUUCUCACCUCUCAAACCAUCUGCUUUCCCAUCAUUUAGACCACUUCUAGAGAAAUCCUUCCAUGGGACUCCCUGCAAACCCCUUCCCUUACCUGAAGUAAAGGAAUGGUUGCUGUCCAAAUUCUCCUGCAAGAAGGAUGUUAGCUGUAACUAGUGGUGCUUAAAUAAUUAUCAAUCGUUAGAAGGCGCAGCAAAACACUGUCUGCAGGGCCAAAUAAGUAGUAAAUACAUGAACAAGGAUCUCUAAACAUGAAUUGAAAACUGAAAAGUUUGAGGAAUUUGUAACAAAUGAGAAAUUCUUAUGUGGUUCUGUUUUAUCUAGUUGGAGUGAAAGGAUUUGCCACUAGAAAGCAGCUAAUUUACAGUCUUACAGUCCUUGCAUCUAAGAAUAGCAAGAUGCCCAAACUUAAUAUUCUGAAUUUAAAUGAUCAAUACAUGUAAAACUUCUCCUUCUUAAUGUAAUACAUGCCGACGAUCUUUAUGGAUAUGACUAUCAAAACCUAAUGCAGAUGACGGCAUACCAGACAACAAAUUUUGAUGGGAAGUACCUCAACUGUCUUCUGCCGGGGAUCUGGGAAGCGAGAAGAUUUUGAAGAAGAAGACCCAACAGCAACAGCAGAUGCGCCAUCAGAUGCAGACUUUGCAGUAAUAGUAUGUGUGAUACCACCAACUUUUAGCUUAACUUUUUUCACUUUACUUUCAUUUCCUACUCCAUCUGAAGAACCUCCAACAUGGCCCAAGCUACUACUUGUGCUUUUCCAAUUAGCUGGGGCAAGGACACCUUGGCUCAACCUUCUAGAAUCAACUCCACUGUGCCUUCGCUCACUACUUCCUCGAAAAGAACCAUUAUUGGAAGCUUCAUCGGAUUCUCCAAAUCCUCCAUCUUCAUUCUUCAUCAUAUUCUGGGCAGAUUCACAGUCAUCAAGGUUAGAAGAUGAAGCUCUUGAAUUGCAUAGAAUGAAACUGACUUUUUUCUUUCGCAAAAUUGAACCAUGAUCAUUAUUUUCAUCACUUGACACUUUGCUUACAGUUUCUGAAGGUGGUGUGGAUGAUAAGGAUGUAACAUCAAUGUAACCUGAAGGCGCAUGCGAUUCAUUCCGUGGCCGACGGGAUGUAUUACUCCUCUUCUUCCUGACAGCACUGCUUGCAUCACUAAACCCAAAACCCUCCAUAAAAGUAAGGAGGCAGAAGCCUAGUUCUGCUGUUAUCUACCAGAGAGAGGAAGUUGAAAUACGUCACGAGAAACACAAAUUUUUCAAGGUAAAGUUUCUUAAUUGCAUCACAACUGAGCAGAUUAGGCACAAAACUGCAAGGAUCAACUCAUGCCAGACAGUGAAGGAAGUCCCACAUAACACAACACAAAAAACAAGUCGCAACCCAAUUCCACAUCGAUACAAUAACCACAGAACAGAUUCUCAUUUACUUCAUACUAAUCAAUUGGAAAGGGUACAAUAUAGCAGCAAAUACCUGUCUGAUAAUUGAGAAAGUGAAUGCUAUAAGUCACAUAACCUUUGUCGCCUAAACCGAAAAAGAACAGAAAAAAACUUAAUUUCAUUUAUAGAUUGCGGAUUCUACCAGCAAUUUUUUUUUAACACAGAUAGCUAUGUAACAACAAUUAACACAUUAGAAAGUGUUAGGUACUUAUUCAUGAACAAAAAGAAAUUAACACCACAGUUCCCUGCAAGACAAUUGGAAAAGAACCUAUACACAAAACAAUACACAAAAAGAGAAAAUUCAAAGUCAUUAAAAAUUGCCAUUUUGAUGCAUAAACCAGCUCAACAAGGCCAAAUUAACAUCACCAUUCAAUCACAGAUUCACCCUAUCCAACAUCUACCCGCCAAAACAGACACAAAUCCAGAUUCAUAGAAACGAAAUCAGCCAAGAAAACCGAAAGAAGUGCAGAUUCUUUGAAGCAAACACCCACAAAACAAAUCAAGAAACCCAAACGCAAAUCCUCUAAAAACACGAAAGAAACUACAUACAGACCGAGAACAAGCAAUUUACCUAUCUGGGUAGCGACAACAAUGCCUGAAAACCCUUGAAUCACCGUCUUAAAACAACCAUCAAGAGAGAUAGAGAAGAGGGUAUCUGCAAAAGUGGUUAAAGAUUGGAUUUUUGGAGGGUUAACGGGUACGGGUAGGAUGGUAGCCAGGUGGAGGUAGGUGAUUGGAUAGAGAAAGGAGGUGGUGGUGAUGGUGGGUCUUAGUUAAGGUAAGAUAAUGGUAGUGAUGUAAAAGACGAUAACAUGGUGAAAGACUCAUUAACAUCCUCAUCUUUGUAUGACAUACCACAGUUCUCUGUGUUUGUGCUUUUGUCUAUGGUCACCCUUCUUACAUACAGACCAAGCUCAGCUGCCUUCGCAGUUUGUUGGAUUAUUUGGUCCCUGUAUUUUUUAAUUGAUUUUUUGUACUUUGUUGGAUUGGCUGUACACUUUUCUUUUAAUUAAUUAAUUAAUUCCUUUAUUCUAGAUUUUUUUAAUGUGAUCUCUAUAAUAAUUUGUUAGUAAUAUGAUAUAUAUAUAUAUAUAUAUAUAUAUAUAUAUAUGUGCAUGUCUAUAUUAAAGAAAGAUAUAGAUAUGAGUAUUAUAAAUAUUAUUUUCUCUUUUAUAUUUAUUUUUAAAUAAAUCCAAAAAUAACUAAUAAAAUACAACUAAUCAUUCUCUAACUAACAUAAGAUUUCACCGCGAUCUCUCUAUCCAACUCCUUUCUAAUUUACCAUUCAUUAUUGACAAUUUAGCCAACACAACACAAGUAAGCAUACACGUGUGGUGGAGUUACUAGAAGUUCGAUUACAUUAAUCUUUUAAGACUUCUUAAUAUGAAUAUUUUCUUUUUAAAAUUUAAGAUGUUUUUGAAAUGAAGUUUAAUUCAUUAUUAAGAUUAAUUCUUUUUCUUUCUAAUUAUAUUUUUUUAUCCUCACUUCCAUUGUUACAUUAAUAUAAAAAAAAUUGUUCACUUAGCAUCUAACGCCUUAAAAGUUUAAGAUCCAUGCAUAGAUAAAAUGCCAAGUAUAUAAAAUUCAAUUGAUCAUAAGAUACUCUAGAUUCUGGGUUAGUAACAAGAGCUGAGUUUGAGGGAGCAUGAAUCUCUAUAGUAUUUGCAGCAUCUGCUGCCAUGGCCAAGUCAUUUGUGAAAGGAUGUAUACAUGUCCUAAUGUACGAUGCCAAUCAAAAAAUAGAAUUCAAACACAAGCGAACACAGAAUAAUCCACUGCCAACUUUUCUAUGAAGCCUUUUAUGAACCACUCAUGCUCUUUUCUAGUGGGAACAACAGACUGAUACAUAAUCCACUGCCAACUUUUCUAGUUUUAUUAUAAACAAUUGAUUGUUGGAUAAAAUUAAAACUCGUAAAGUAAUAUUUCCUAAACAAGAAGUAAUACAACCUGUGAGUCUAUUCUUAGCCAUCUUUAAGGUCUCCAUAUAUGAAAAGAUCGAACAAAUAUUUUGUGGGAUUGGACCGUGCAUGUUGUUCUUCGAUAUAUCUAUUAUGAUCAUGUUCAUAUCUGGGUGAUCUUGCAAUUGAAAAGCACCAACAAAAGAUUUCUCACUUGGAAAUAGUUGCUACAAUCUUGUAAUGUUCUCAAGCCACCAUGAUGGGAACAUUCCACUAAACUUGUUGUGGGAGAGAUCAAGGACUCUUAAGUCGUUUUGGCUAUUUGACAGUAAGAGUAAUUCAAGGGAUACGAGGUUGGUAAGAGGACCGGAGGCAAUGGUUCCGGUAAACUGGUUUCAAGAGACGUCUAGUAGUUGUGUUGGCGUGUAACCCCUAGUUAUCAAUCAACAAAUUUUCAGACUUUGUGAUUUUUUUAUGGUUUUACUGUAUUUGUUAUUUAAGUGUUUAUAGUUUAACAAAUUACAUUAUAUUUCAUGCUAUACAAUGCAUCAAUUGACUUGAUUGUGAAAGAUAUGAAAAUGAUUGUUUUUGUUCAAUUUAAGACUUUGCUAAACAAUUUGCACAGACCUUAUUGACUGGGAGUCAUUUUUUUAUUUUUUUUUAUAACUAGUGAAAUGUAUUAAAACGCCAAAAGAUGGCGGAAAGGAGGAGUUACAAAUCUGCAAAAACACACGGAUUUAGCAAAAGAAACAAAACGAAGAGAAAGAGGUCAAGAAAACCACAAGAACAGAGCAACAGCCUUAGAAUGCAGCUUUGCCUCCACACAAAACAGAGCUUCCAAGCUAAACAACCAGCCAUCACCGACUAUUCCAAAUCAAUAGAGGUCUUUAGACCAAGCAACAGCUAUUACCAGCCAUAACCAGCCACUGAGAAUCAAUAUUUAAGUUACUUGCAAUCCACUUUCUCAUCAGUUAUUGUUGUGGAGCUCUAUUUUGUCUUAAACGUAGGGUGUAUAAAAUAGUCAAAAGUAGGAUAUCCCACUUCCUCCAUUGUUGAUCUGUAACAAUCUAGUGGUAACCUUAUUUAGCUCAACUGGCCACACUGAGUUAAAGCAUAAAAUGUCGUGUAGGCACCUCUUGGUAGCCUUAUUUAGCACUCCUUGCCACUUUGAGUUAAAUAUAAAACGUCGUCUAUGCUUGACUUGUGGUUUGAUAUUUUGAUUUUUAAACACUAGCAAGUACUAGUUUCCUGGAAAGUACUGGUGGUCUCCUCACCAUCUGUUUCCUAACAACCCUCGUUAGAAAAUGAUUAAAGUUUUGACCAGACUGUUAAAGAGCAAUUCUAUGCCACAAAGCUAGUUUCCAGGUACCAAUUCAAAAAGCAAAACAACAAAACACAAAAAGUAUAUCAACACAAACUUAGAAGCCCACAAAUAAAUCCACUCAACCAAAAUUCAGAUCAACAGAAAGGCUGAGCUGAGAGACUAUACACUACAAAGCAUCCAAUAGCUAGACAUACAGGACCAACAAUUAUCACAAGCAGAUUAUCAAAUAAUUUUUGAGGGAAAAACUGACUCCCCAGCAGCAAUCAUUACAAAUUCACUAGGCAAAAUAGACCGAAUUACCUUCUGAACUUGGAGAACUUGCAAGAACUAGCCAGCAAAAAACAGAAGCAAGUAUCUAUGCAGUAGUCGAUGAAGUUAAACCACCCACGUCGCCAAUAUGGAUUGAUGUAGAGAAUUGCUGCAAUCCCCAUCACCACAACUAUGUAACCUACACCCAAACUGAUGUAGAAUAAAUUCAUGUCUAUGAAACCAUCAUCUUCUUGUUCAUCAUGAGGCAUUGGCAGCGAUGGUGAUUCUUCUUCACUACAAUUGUUUCGCAAUGGAGGUCCACACAAAAAAGGAUUUCCUUCAUAACUGCUUUCAUCGAAGGUCCCAAACUGAUAUUUUCUCUCUGGAGUAUUACCUGACAAGUUAUUGUGUGCCACACUAAAAACUUCUAGUGUGGUAAUUUCUAAAAGUUUCUGAGGGAUGACACCGUUCAAGUUAUUGUAAGAAAGAUCCAAACUCUCUAUCUGCUGUAAGUUUGAGAAUGUUGCAGGGAUAGAUCCAGUGAGAUUGUUGUGUGACAAGUUUAAUGCUAAUAGCUCCCUUAAGUUUCCCAAUUCUGGUGGGAUUGCUCCUGAGAAUUUGUUGCUGGAGAGAUCAAUACCAGACAUGAAGCUGAGAAUUUUUCCCUUGUAACCAUAAUACAUAUUUUUAGCUGUAAACUCUAUCACUUCUUCUGUAGUAAUGGGUGUAUAACUGCUUCCCAAGAGAGCUCCGAUUUGGCUGAAUUCAUAAUAAGCUUUUUCUAUGGGCGUUGAUCCAAAAUGAAAUCCGAAAUCCUCUGAUGCUUUGUCAUAACUUUCCUUGAAACUAAGAUUGCCUAAACAGGAUGGUAGUGGACCAGAGAGCUGAUUAUGUGAAACAUCCAAAAUGCUUAAUUGUUCCAACAAGCAUAGCUGAACAGGAAACUCACCUUCAAAAUCAUUAUCUCUCAAAAGAAGAACACUCAAUGAUGAAAGAUUGCCAAUCCAAUUUGAGAUGGAGCCGGUGAAGUUGUUAUCUCGGAGAUCCAAUGUAACAAGGGAAGAGCUGUUAUAAAAUCCAUAUGUUAAUGGACCACUCAAUCUAUUUUUUGAUAGAUGCACAUGGGUUAUAUGUGGUGGAUUGAAACAAGAUGGUAUAGAAUCAAACAAGUUGUUCUCAGAAAGAUCCAAGUAUGUAAGCUCAUCAAGCUUACAAAAUUCUUCUGGAAUGGGACCAUUAAAAUGGUUUUUGGACAAAUCAAUUGCGAAGAUUUGCGUCAAAUUGACAAACCACCACGGAAGCAUGCCUGAAAAUUGAUUGUUACUCAAAUCAAAUACAUGCCAGAUUGUUCUUAUGGGUGAUGGAAAAUCUGAUAUCUGACCCCAAAAAUUGUUAUCGCUUAGGUAGAGAUAAUUCAGUCUAGAAGAAUUGACCACUGAGGCAGGUAAUUGCCCACUCAAAUUGUUGUUUGAAAGCUUGAGAAACAUCAAUGUUAUAAACUGUUCUAGUUCUACCAUAGACAAUUGAUUGUUGGAUAAAUCUAAAACUCCCAGAGAGCUAAUAUUUCCUAAACAAGAAGGAAUACAACCUGUGAGUCCAUUCUUAGCCAUCCUUAAGGUCCACAAAUUUGAAAAGAUCAAACAAAUAUUUUUUGGAAUUUCACCAUGCAUGUUGUUGUUCGAUAUAUCUAUUGUGGUCAUAUUUGGAUUUGGAUGAUCUUGCAAUUGCAAGGCACCAGAAAAGGAGUUCUCAUUCAGAAAUAAUUGCUCCAAUCUUGUAUUGUUCUUAAGCAACCAUGAUGGGAACAUUCCAAUGAAGCUGUUUUGAGAGAGAUCAAGGACUCUUAAGUCAUGUUGGUUAUAGAGGAAGCUGGGAGUUUCUACAUUGAGUGCUUUCGAUGAACUUUUUGACAAGCUGAAAAAGACUAGUUGGAACUUUGGAAUCAAAUCAUGGAAGGACAUGGGUUCCGUUACUAGUCUGUUGUUGUCACUGGAGAAGAACUUGAGGCUUGAGUGGUUCAUAAAAGGCUUCAUUGAAAUUGGAACUUUGAAGUGGUUAUUUGAUAGUGAGAUGAAUUCAAGGGAUAUGAGGUUGGUAAGAGGACUAGAAGCAAUAUUUCCAGUAAAUUGAUUUCUCGAAACAUCUAAUAAUUGUAGAGAAGACAAGUUUCUGAAACAAUCUGGGAGUGAGCCCUCUAGAUUAUUUUCAGAGAAAAAUAACUGUUUUAGAUUCUUCAAUCCACACAGACCUGUACAAUUUAUUUCAAAAUAGUCAAAACAGUGUUGAAAACAUCUUUUAUUGAUCAUGUAAAAAUAAGAAGAUGAAGAGUUGCUAAUUUACCUUGAACGGGGAGGGUGCCAUUGAGGUCACAUUCACUGGCAGACAAAACUUUAAGAGCAGGCAAUACUCCAAUAUUAUGGAGAAAGUUUAAUGGGAGAGAACUACCAUCUAGAUACAAUUCUUCAAGGGUGGUCGAAUUGAAGAAAGUUCCUGUGAAGAAGAAACAACAAAAGAUAUGAUCAUGAAAAUGGUAGAGAUACAGAGUUGACUUUAAUCUCUUCAUGUCUUUAUUACCAUUCCACUUGUAAUUUUUCAUUUUCUUAAUUUAGUUCAGCUAACUUUAAAUGGAUUAUGAAAUGGAUAUAAAGUCAUUUUUCAUGAUAAAGAAACCCUAUAAAAGAAUGUCAUGUGAAGGGGUUAGGUAGAAAUUAUCUAAGAUUUACCGUUGACGCUCGUAGAUCCUGUCAACAUAUUGUAUGACAAAUCUAAAGACUUCAGAGAUGAAAAUCCUAUUAGAGAUGAAAAAAUGCUGUCACUGUAUUGAUUCCCUCUCAGGUGAAGGUUCUCCAGUUUCUUCAACCUUGAUGACAAGACGUUGAGACCUGCAAGAUGAUUUUGAAAGCCUGUUGGAAGGAAAUAAACGCACAGGAAAAAUAAUACGAGAUUAAAAAAGGAAAAUGUUCAAAGAUGAAUAGUUAAAGCUAUUACCAUAAAAGUUAGCCGAUCCUGUCAACGUAUUCCAUGACAAAUCUAAAGACUUGAGAGAUGAAAACCCAGUCAAACAUGAUAAAAUGCUGUCACUAUAAAAUUUAUUAUAACUGAGGUCAAGAACAUGCAGUUUCCUCAGUUUUGAUGAUAGGGUUCCGAAGCCUGCAAGAGAAAUCUCAAAGGAAAAUAAUUGACAUUAAAAACUUCAUUAAUAUACAUUUGUUUUAUGAUUAUAAGAAGAUAGACAUUGAACCAACCUUCAUUCUCAGAGCAACCAACUAAUCCAGUCUCUCCCAAAUCAAGACUCUGCAAUUCUUCCAAAGGCAGAAACAGAGAUGCGUUGAGAACCCAAUCGCCCAGGCGGAAAUCCCUUGCACGCCUAAGAGAGAGUUGGAUCACUCGCCUUGUAGUGUUAUCACACACGAUCCCAGACCACUCACAGCAAUUACCAAUAUCCUCUUUGUUGUCCAUCCAGUCGCUCAAUUCCCCUUGAACGCUGUUUGGAUCGAUCAAAGCUUUGAUCUCCAAGAGACCAAUCCUCUCUUCCUCCAAGCACCCACAACAACGACCACACCAUUCGCCAACCGAAGUCAAUAAUGCUAGCAACAGCCAAACCCACUGUUUUUUCAUCAUCAUCUUAGAUAAUUCUUUGAAUAUUGUUGCUUUUUAUGCGCACUUGGCCAAUAAAAGAGGUCCUAUUUAUAUUACACUUCGGCUCUCUCCAUGCAUUCAAUUGAAUUUUCUAUGCUAAACUGUGAAUGGAAGAAAGUUGGGUGUAUUAUCGGAGAAGACUUUGACUCAGAGUAAACUUGGACUCUUAAUGAUUUGGAUUUUUUUGGUAGUAAAUAUUUAAAACUCGUGUUCAUCUGUUAUUUUUUAUAGAAUAUUAUUUGCCGUGUUUAGAGGUGUAUGACAGAACAAUUUUCAUUAUUUAAAACAUUCGGAAGAGAAUAUGCGGAUUCAAACCGUAACAUAUAAGCUGAAAUUUAAUCAAGAAAUCCAAAAUAAACCGAGAUUUAGAGAGAGAUAAAAUUUAUUUCAGGUUUUUCUAUUUUUUUAAAUAGUACGAUAUAUACUAACCUCUGGAUGGAACUUAAGAAAAUUGGUAAGCUUGAAAAGGAAACUAAAUCUCAAUUGGCUUACAAAUUGGUUCGAGGAUACUGAGAAUACAGAUUUUUCUUUGCUGAAUUUUCAUUAUUCAAUUAAGUUGAAUAUUGACAACACAUGUUACAAUUUCUUGGCAGAAUUUUCUUCACGCACUGCAUUAAAAACCUGGAAUUGUUAGAUAAAAUUUAAACUCAGUGUCAGUACUUAGGUUAAUGAGCCUAGAGAAUGCUUGCCUAGUUAAUGUUAAUAGUUAAAGUUAGCGUGAGAAGCAGGGCGUUCAUCAAAUUGGCUGUUUGACUUGGAUACAUCUUGACAUUGGAGUCAAGUUAAUUGGUGCGACCGCACCUUCCUGGAAUUUCUUGCACAGAAGAAAUUUGUACAGGGCUGGUGAGGGCCUAGAAAAUGACUUCCUUCUGGCCUAGAAAAUGACUUCCACUUAAUAUUUCUUUGACAUUUAAGUCCCUUGUGAAAUGGGGGUGUUAUUUCGUCCUCUGCCUUUUCUUCCUGGACAUACGGAGCCAAGUUUCCAAGAUAAUCCAGAAAUGAUAGUCCAUUAUUCAACCUUUUGAAUAGUGAAGCUUUUCAAAAUAAUCCACAAAUGAAAGCUACAAAAGAAUAUCAUGGACCGUCUCACAUUGUUUACAUCACUCCAUUAAUUGCGCAAAUAUUAAAAAUAACAAGAACAACAAAAUUGCGGAAAGACUCAAGCACGAUAUUUUAUUCAAAGGUAAUAAUUGUCUCAAAAAUCCCACAAAAAAUAGUUUAAAUAGCAUGCCAUGGGCUAAGCAAACUAAAAUAAUAUAGAAUUCAAAAUUAAUACUGAAACAAAUAAGAAAGAAAAAUUUUCCAAACAAAAGCAAUCCGAGGCAAUCUUGAAGAUCAUGAUCACAAGAGAGCUCAAAAAGAGAUCUUCGUAGGGGAUUUUGAUACACUUUUCCCUCGUAGCUAUGUUGUGGGUCUCUAAAUCAUCUUUUUAUGUUGGUAUAAUUUGCGCGUCAAUUUAGCACCCUGCUCGUUAAAGAAAUACUGCAUAUUUGCCCUUAUAAACUAUCUUUUUAAACUUUAGUUUAUUAAUAAAGCCCAUAAACUCAUAGUCUAGACAUUCCACAUAAAACUUAAUAAGACACUGACAUUUAUUACUUUAAUUAUUUGUUUAUGGAUGGUAUUAGUAUUUCUAAUUCCUUGUCCAUAAGGAACACUUCACAGACAUGAAUGGGCUUUUUCACUGCCCUUCAUAAUGGGCUUGGCCACUUUCGGUAAUUAAGAAAAGCCUAUUGAAUAUUGUUGCUCGUUUUCAUUCUUUUGGCAUAUCUGUUUUAUCUUCUCGUUUGGUCCCUGCUAGACCUGUGUUUUAGCAGAAUGGAAAUGCCUUCUUGUUCGCAUAGCAUAACUCUCGAUGGGCUUAGAAGACAUAGGGGAAGAUAAAUUUGUUUUCGUUCCAGUUCUUAGGACGAGAUUGAUGAGAAAUUCAACUGGAUUUCAAGUAGUGAUUUGGUCUCAUCGGCUUCUCCUGGUCUUCUUGUUCUGAAUAUAAGGCUCGCCAUCUAAGCUUUUCAUUGGGUUUGAAUUUCCUGGCCUCCUGAGUUAAUUUUAUCUGGGCUGGACAUGAAUAUUUUUAUAUACACUACUUAAGGCUGGAUGAGCUUAUCUCUUUAGCAUGUCUUCUUAGACUCUUGUGCUUUCAAACUAUAUUAGCUCUAAGUAAAUUAUUAUCUGAGUAAAAUCAUUGCGUAUCUGUGCUAUUUAGGGGGAUUUAUACUCUCAAUUUGCACCUUUCAGUAAUUAUUUUAUAUUGGGUAUCUCUUUUUUUUUUGUUAUAAAAAAAUAUACAAGAUGUAUAUCUAUGUAAUUAAGUUACAGAAAAUGUAAUAUACACUUGUCAUGGCUACAAGAAAUAGCGAAAGAAGGAAACGGAGGAAAGAUAACCGAUUGACCCCUAACGAAGACCAAUGCAUAAGAAUUUCAAAGUGGUAAAAAGGAGGUGGCUAAAAAAGAACAUCAUGUUCAAACCAUUGCACCUAAAAUAAUUCAACACCAAAGGUUCUAAAAUAAACCAAUUCAUCUCGAUCCUCUCAAUCCCAUCAUGGGAUAUUAAUUUUCAUAUUUAAUCAAAUGAAUCAUGAAAAAUAUAUUUAAAUGAAAACGAUAAGAGGAAAGACAUUUUUAGCCACAAAACGUCACUGGAAUUUGGCUAGCAUAGCGAAGGCAAGUGAGCUGCACCGGGUCAAUAAGCAAUUGUCUACUAUUCACUGUUUUUGUUGAUUGGAGUUAAUGAUGUGUAGUAUUUUGAAGUUGAUCAAUUGUCUACUAUUCCUUGUUUUUGUCUUUGAUUUUUAUGCAUACAUUGUAGAUUAAUAUUAAGCAAUUCAUCUAACAAAUAUGAUUUCAACAAUUUAGUUUUUGUUAAUGAGCUGACAAAAUCUUGUAACGUAUAACUUUUUUAUAUUAAAUUCAGCCAUCAAAUUAAAAUCUUGUAAAAGGCUGAAGUUCUUAUUCUCAAUAUAAAUAAUCCAAAUGGCCCGAUGGUAGAGCACACAACAGUUUACUAUUUUAUUCGUAACACAACACAACAGUUCAUCAUUACAGAAUAACUUAUUAAGUUUUAUUUUACUUGCCAACGCAACAAAGACAUAACAUAAAGAAGAAGUCCCGAAAGCAUGAUACAGUAUAGGGCAAGAGGCCGGUAAUCUUCGGGUAUUUGACCGUCAUUGAAACAAUAGCCGGCUAAUUAGCCUACAGCUUAAAAGGCUCCAAGGCGACAUCAAUGCCACCAGUCUUGUUCAUGAAAUGGGAAAUGAACUCUUUAUACUGAAAGGAUUUAUAGAUUGCAGGAUUGCGUGGAUCAACAAGAGCUUUGGCAGGCUCUACAAUGCUGUCACCAUUAGGAAUGAAAAACAUGGCAACACUUGUCCGAGCUUUCUCUGAAUUUGUCACUGCUCGAUGUUCGACGCUUCUCAGCUUGCUGUUACUGAUAAUCUAAACAUAGACCAGCCAUUUUGUGAGAUUAAAGCUCAAUAUAUAUAAUCUCAUCAAGGAUAUAUUAGUGACAUUAAAUAUAAUGAAAUAUAAACGGAACCUAAGAGUUUGUCUAAUGGUUGAUUAAGGGCGCCGGUGUGUGCUCCGUUCUUGCCCUUUUGAGGAUUUAAACUCUAUAUUAUCGGUAAAACUCUCACGAUUUUUCUAAUUUUGUACAAAUAAUAUGUCUCUUUACCGAUUCAGAUCCGUGAACAAAAAAUAAAAAAGAUAAGCGGGAGUUUACCUGCAUUUGGUAUCCCAUGUUAACCACAAAUGCAUUAGAAAUUGGCUCAACACCAAUCCAUUCACCAUUCUUUAAGACUUGAAGCCCAAACACAUCACUAUCUUGUUGUAAAAUGGUUAUGAGAUUAGGAUCACAGUGUUCGGAGACUCCGAGGGUCAAACUUGGAACAUAACAGGCGGAAUAAAACUGGAACAAAUCUAUUGAAAUUUGGCUGAGAAAUCCAUAAUGAAUCAAGAUUUAUUGAGAAAAAUGAUAUGAUGUAUGCCCAUGGACGGUAAUGGAACAUAAUUGAGUAACGAAACAUAAUUGAUAAGCUUGAAAAGGACACUAAAUCUCAAUUGGCUUACAAAUUGGUUCGAGGAUACUGAGAAUACAGAUUUUUCUUCGCUGAAUUUUCAUUAUUCAAUUAAGUUGAAUAUUGACAACACAUAUUUUAAUUUCUUGGCAUAAUUUUCUUCACGCACUGCAUUAAAAACCUGGAAUUGUUAGAUAAAAUUUGAACUAAGUGUCAGUUUUUUUAGAAUAAGUCGAUAUAUUGAAAGGGCUAUUGAACUAAGUGUCAGUACUUAGGUUAAUGGGCCUAGAGAAUGCUUGCCUAGUUGAUGUUAGUAGUUAAAGUUAGCGUGAGAAGCAGGGCGUUCCUCUAAUUGGCUGUUUGCUACUCUGCUUUCUCAUUCUAGACUUGGAUACAUCUUGACAUUGGAAUCAAGUUAAUAGGUGCGACGGCACCUUCCUGGAAUUUCUUGCACAGAAGAGAUUUGUGUUGAGGACAAUUUGUUUAAAUAGGCUGGUGAGGGCCUAGAAAAUGACUUCCUUCUGGCCUAGAAAAUGACUUCCACUUAAUAUUUCUUUUACAUUUAAGUCGCUUGUGAAAUGGGGGUGUUAUUUCGUCCUCUGCCUUUUCUUCCUGGACAUACGAAGCCAAGUUUCCAAGAUAAUCCACAAAUGAUAGUCCAUUAUUCAACCUUUUGAAUAGUGAAGCUUUUCAAAAUAAUCCACAACUGAAAGCUACAAAAGAAUAUCAUGGACCAUCUCACAUUGUUUACAUCACUCCAUUAAUUGCGCAAAUAUUAAAAAUAACAAGACCAACAAAAUUGCGGAAAGACUCGAGCACGAUAUUUAUUCAAAGGUAAUAAUUGUCUCAAAAAUAGUUUAAAUAGCAUGCCGUGGGCUAAACAAACUAAAAUAAUAUAGAAUUCAAAAUUAAUACUGAAACAAAUAAGAAAGACAAAUUUUCCAAACAAAAGCAAUCCGAGGCAAUCUUGAAGAUCAUGAUCACAAGAGAGCUCAAAAAGAGAUCUUCGUAGGGGAUUUUGAUACACUUUUCCCUCGUAGCUAUGUUGCGGGUCUCUAAAUCAUCUUUUUAUGUUGGUAUAAUUUGCGCGUUAAUUUAGCACCCUGCUCGUUAAAGAAAUACUGCAUAUUUGCCCUUAUAAACUAUCUUUUUAAACUUUAGUUUAUUAAUAAAGCCCAUAAUCUCAUAGUGUAGACAUUCCACAUAAAACUUAAUUAGACACUGACAUUUAUUACUUUAAUUAUUUGUUUAUGGAUGGUAUUAGUAUUUCUAAUUCCUUGUCCAUAAGGAACACUUCACAUACAUGAAUGGGCUAUUUCACUGCCCUUCAUAAUGGGCUUGGCCACUUUCGGUAAUUAAGAAAAACCUAUUAAAUAUUGUUGCUCGUUUUCAUUCCUUUGGCAUAUCUGUUUUAUCUUCUCGUUUGGUCCCUGCUAGACCUGUGUUCUAGCAGAAUGGAAAUGCCUACUUGUUCGCAUAGCAUAACUCGACGGGCUUAGAAGACAUAGGGGAAGAUAAAUUUGUUUUCGUUCCAGUUCUUAGGACGAGAUUGAUGAGAAAUUGAACUGGAUUUCAAGUAGUGAUUUGGUCUCAUCGGCUUCUCCUGGCCUACUUGUUUUGAAUAUAAGGUUCGGCCAUCUAAGCUUUUAAUUGGGUUUGAAUUUCCUGGCCUCCUGAUUUAAUUUAAUCUCGACCGGACAUGGACAUGAAUAUUUCUAUAUACACUCAAGGCUGGAUGAGCUUGUCUCUUUAGCAGGUGUUCUGAGGCUCUUGUGCUUUUAAAUCAUGCCAGCUCUAAGCCUCUUAUUAUCUGAAUGAAAUUAAUGUGUUCUUGUGCUGUUUAGGAGGGGUUUUCUACUCUCAAUUUGCACCUUUCAUUAAUCAUUUCAUACUGGGUACCUUGUUUUUUUUUUUUACUAUGAAAAAAUAUGCAAAGUGUAUAUCUAUGUAAUUAAGUUACAGAAAAUGUAAUAUACACUUGUCAUGGCUACAAGAAAUAGCGAAAGAAAGAACCGGAGGAAAGAUAACCGAUUGACCCCUAACGAAGACCAAUGCAGAAGAAUUUCAAAGUGGUAAAAAGGAGGUGGCUAAAAAAGAACAUCAUGUUCAAACCAUUGCACCUAAAAUAAUUCAACACCAAAGGUUCUAAAAUAAACCAAUUCAUCUCGAUCCUCUCAAUCCCAUCAUGGGAUAUUAAUUUUCAUAUUUAAUCAAAUGAAUCAUGAAAAAUAUAUUUAAAUGAAAACGAUAAGAGGAAAGACAUUUUUAGCCACAAAACGUCACUGGAAUUUGGCUAGCAUAGCGAAGGCAAGUGAGCUGCACCGGGUCAAUAAGCAAUUGUCUACUAUUCACUGUUUUUGUUGAUUGGAGUUAAUGAUGUGUAGUAUUUUGAAGUUGAUCAAUUGUCUACUAUUCCUUGUUUUUGUCUUUGAUUUUUAUGCAUACAUUGUAGAUUAAUAUUAAGCAAUUCAUCUAACAAAUAUGAUUUCAACAAUUUAGUUUUUGUUAAUGAGCUGACAAAAUCUUGUAACGUAUAACUUUUUUAUAUUAAAUUCAGCCAUCAAAUUAAAAUCUUGUAAAAGGCUGAAGUUCUUAUUCUCAAUAUAAAUAAUCCAAAUGGCCCGAUGGUAGAGCCCACAAUAGUUUACUAUUUUAUUCGUAACACAACCCAAUAGUUCAUCAUUACAGAAUAACUUAUUAAGUUUUAUUUUACGUGCCAACGCAAUAAAGACAUAACAUAAAGAAGUAGUCCCGAAAGCAUGACACGGUAUAGGGCAAGAAGCCGGUAAUCUUCGGGUAUUUGACCGUCAUUGAAACAAUAGCCGGCUAAUUAGCCUACAGCUUAAAAGGCUCCAAGGCGACAUCAAUGCCACCAGUCUUGUUCAUGAAAUGGGAAAUGAACUCUUUAUACUGAAAGGAUUUAUAGAUUGCAGGAUUGCGUGGAUCAACAAGAGCUUUGGCAGGCUCUACAAUGCUGUCACCAUUAGGAAUGAAAAACAUGGCAACACUUGUCCGAGCUUUCUCUGAAUUUGUCACUGCUCGAUGUUCGACGCUUCUCAGCUUGCUGUUACUGAUAAUCUAAACAUAGACCAGCCAUUUUGUGAGAUUAAAGCUCAAUAUAUAUAAUCUCAUCAAGGAUAUAUUAGUGACAUUAAAUAUAAUGAAAUAUAAACGGAACCUAAGAGUUUGUCCAAUGGUUGAUUAAGGCCGGUGUGUGCUCCGUUCUUGCCCUUUUAGGAUUUAAACUCUAUAUUAUCGGUAAAACACUCACGAUUUUUCUAGUUGUGUACAAAUAAUAUGUCUCUUUACCGAUUUAGAUCCGUGAACAAAAAAUAAAAAAGAUAAGCGGGAGUUUACCUGCAUUUGGUAUCCCAUGUUAACCACAAAUGCAUUAGAAAUUGGCUCAACACCAAUCCAUUCACCAUUCUUUAAGACUUGAAGCCCAAACACAUCACUAUCUUGUUGUAAAAUGGUUAUGAGAUUAGGAUCACAGUGUUCGGAGACUCCGAGGGAUGACAACAAUUUGAAGAUCGUUAGUUGUUUUGGAAGGUUCUAAUAGUAGAAGAAAAAACAGAGUGUUUGUGUCUUGACAUGUAAGGUAGUAUAGAUACAAAUGAUUUAUAGUAAAAAAAAAUACUUCUCUUGUAAUCUUCUAAACUAGUAAAAGUUAUAUAUCUUGGAUUUGGCUGCUCUAGAUGGUUUUUUUAUCUUUGAAAAGAUCAAAAUAUUUUCUCUUGACCAAAUAAUUUGUUCAUUUAAGUUUCUUGCACUUAUAUUUAUUUAAUUACUAAUCAAUGUUUGUAAAAUGUUAGUAAAUUGCUUCUUAAUAUACAUAGAACAAAAACAAGACUAUUAACUAUAAAGAUAUCAAAGGACAUAGUCUUGCCAUAUGUCGAGAGAUUAGAGAAUCUAGUGGUUAAAAUGUUAUUAAUCUUAUUAGACCGUUAAGAAAGUCUGUUAGCAUUCAUCAAUGAAAAGAAAAAAGAGGUUAUAGAACGUGAACAAGCUUCUAACUAUAGCUUGAUAUAAAGGUCUGUAAAGGUCUGUAAUAGUGUGAGAAAAGGAAUUAAUAAGAAUAUAAUAGUUUCUUCUUUCUCUCUAUUCAUCAGAAAAUUCUCUCUACUUCUCUCCACUUCUUUAUUUGCUUAUGUGUAAUUCUACUAUCUUAUUAUCAGUUAUUAAAAAUGAUAAAUUUAGAAUCUUGUGUUUUCACAUUUUCCAUAUUAUAUAAUAUUUAUUAUCCAAAGUUUCCAAGCAGGUCAUCAAUGUUGAAUAUUUUCAUCGGUUAAGAAGGUUAUGAUUAAAUUAUUAGCAUAUAUUAUUAAUAUUAAUAUCCACGUUUAUCAGAUAGAUACCUUUAUUAAUUGAUUUGCUGUUCCCUUUUCCCUUUGUGUAGCUAGUUGGUUUGUGCAUCCGCGCCAAUACUAUUUAGUUGCAAUUCUCUUCAUCAUGUGAUAUAAUUAAAUGAUUAAAGUCAAGCCCAUACGUCCGCAACACUUACCUGCCAAUAUGAAUCACGAAUAAGAAUUUUUUUUUUUUUUUUGAUAAAAUCCACAUUUUGUGUAAUAGAGUUUUACCAAAAAAGUAAUAAAAGUAGGAAAUUUUUACUAUUUGCCACCAACUCAAGAUUAUUACUUGCAAAAAGAAAACUCUUGUGUGUGUGUGUGUGUGAAAUUUCAAACUUAAUUAGGCAGUGAAAUUUAUUUGUGUCAAUGAGUUUUCUUUGCUCAAUUAUAUCUAAAAUAAGAACUGGAUACAUUAUAUAUAAAAAUUAAAUUAAUUAAUGAGACCUUGAAGUAAUAAAAGUAGGAAAUGUUUUUGAUAAAGUCUUGUUACACACCAAGGUAAUUAGGGGACUGUGUUCUUAAACAAAAAGUUUUUAACUCCAGGUCAAUUUGAGUAGGCCUUAUUGAUUGGGAGUUAAAGAGAUUAGCUGCCACUUCAUCAUCAAAUCAAAAGUAAAAUGUUAAUGAACUCACCAUUAAUUGCCAUUAAGCUCCAUUGAGUGUGAACAAUGAAUUUAUAAAAUAGUCAAAAGUGGGAUGUCGUGAUUUCAACAAUGCCGUUUCAUAAAAUUGAUAGUCAUGAUGAAAAGAAGAAUACAGUCCCCAAGGGGUGUAGCGUGGUGGCAAAGGGCUUGAGAUCUGCAUGGCAGGUCUUGAGUUCGAGUCAAGGCGUGCACUUCUUGUAAGAGCCUGGGACAGCCGGGGUUUUACUCACUUAUCUGGGCCCAUAAAGUGCGCUUUCCGGAAGGUGGGGUUUCCUCGAAUCCAAAAAAAAAAAAAAAAAAAAGAAGAAUACAGAAUUGUUGGUUGAAACGUGAACGUCGUGUUCUCCUGAAUUGUAUAGUGACGAUGGUGGAACCGAUGCGGUUGCAUAGCAGCACCAACCAGUACUUUCCUAAUGAUUUCCUUGCGGAAGAAAUUAUGGCAUGGUGGAAAACGAUGCCACCCUAACAAUCCAAGAGUUCAAAUUCAACUUGAAUAAAAGCAUGAUAAUUUAGAAGAGAAAGGAUCCAAGAACAUCACGAAACAGGGGAUUGUUCUAUUUUGUUAUGUAACAAUCUCAACAGCUAAGAGGUUAGAUUGUAGGGUCUAAUUUCAAAUGCAAGACUCUAUUGAUUCUCAUCAUUGUAGUAAUAAAACCAUGUACAUUUUUAUUAAAUUAAGAGGAAACACAAAAUUAAACAAGAAAAUCUUUAGAGGUCAGAAAUAAAUCUAACAUUGUCGAACAGACUGUGAGCAAACCCAGAUUUGGUGGAAGAUAGAGAUAUGAAGAGAGAGCAGAAAUUGAUGGUCUACUUGUUUUGCAUAUAAGGUUCGGCCAUCUAAGCUUCUCAUUGGGUUUUAAUUUCCUGAGUUAAUUUCAUCCUGGCUGGACUUGAAUAUCUCUAUAUAUACACUUAAGGCUGGAUGAGCUUGUCUCUUUAGCAGGCCUUCUUAGGCUUAUGUUCUUUCAAACAAUGUCAGCUCUAAGCCCAUUAUUUUACAGAAAAUGUAAAAUACACUUGUCAUGGCUGAUUGAAAUCGUGGAAGAAAAAACUAGAGGAAAGAUAACCGAUCGAUCCCCAUCGAAGACCAAUGCAGAGGAAUUUCAAAGGGGAAAAACGGUGGCGCCUUUAUGAUGCAGUUCAUCUAAAGAUAAAACCUAACCUGAAUUAAUUGUUCGGUCUCCUUCAAAGCGAAAUAACUUUGCCAGGUUUCCUCCCAGUGACAUUACAUUUUUAAAGUUAAAAGUGCUGAAGCACAAUUCAAAGACAAUAAGUAGUAUUAAACUUAACAAGCUAGUUCAAUGGAGGAGAAUGGUGUGCUGAAACUCUAUGAUUUUCAAAAAAAUUGAAACAUAUCAGAUACAUGCUGCUGCAUUCGCAAGAAAGGAGCACCCAUCAACCACUGUCCUAUUGAAUGUGCUAAAUGUCAAUACAGAGCCUUAAAGCAUCAAGACAGGCAGCAAUUAAACAUAAAUGAUAAUAGAAGACACACCAGAGCACUCUAUGUAAACUGAUAUCUUUAGAAAAUUCAAAUCAACUCAUAAAGUUUAUGAGUUAUUAGGUCAAAUCAACGAUACCCUAUUUUACCUUCAUCGUAACCUAGAAAGACACAAAUAGCAAAACAGGAGGACAACUUAAUGUGUUUUGCAUGAGGACAAAGAAUAAAACAAAUACAACCAAAAACUCUAAAGGAGGAAUAAUCAGGGACAUGCCUAUAUAACUUUUCAAAAAGAGACAAACCUGAACUAUGAGAAGAUAUGAUUGUAUUAAUCAAACUUACAAAGUAAUGACAACUUUUUCCCAAAACUCACUAGGAACAAAAGCAGACAACAAGAGAGAACGAGCAGUUUCAACAAUGUGCCUAUGUUUUCUUUCAACAACACUUUUUUGCUUAGGAGUAUCUGUACAUGAAGUUUGGUGAAUGAUUUCAUCUAAGGCAAGCAAUUGAGAGAAUUUUUAGAAGUGUAUUCCGCACCCAAAUCACACUUAAAGUAUUUGAUUACAACAAAAUGUUGAGUUUUCACAAGAGCUUGAAAGAGUGUAUAUAUCUCAUAGAAUUUAAGAUAUAUAAUAUCGAGACCCUUCUUUUGUGGUAAUAUGAGAAGGUCCCCAUACAUCAAAAUGAAUCAAAUCAAAAGGUGAAGAAGAAACAUAAAUACUUUGAUUAAAAGAUAAAGCGAAAAUUUUUGCCAGUUUACAUCCACUACAAUCAGAAAUAUCACAAGUUUUUAAAUUUUCUAAAGCUCUUAUGGAUGCUAAAAAUCUUAAACAAGAAGACGAAUUAUGACCUAGACGAGAAUGUCAUAAAUAAAAACUAGAAGAUGAAGGACUCAAAUGAAAGGAAGACAAAUCAAUAGUAGUAGUAGCGGCGGCGGUGGCAACUGGCACUUUUAACUCAUCUAAACUAUAUCGUCCAUUCUCCCUACGGCCUGUCCCAAACAACUUCUGAGACUGCAAAUCCUGUACACAACAAAAUGAACCAGAAAACAUGACUAAAUAAUCACCAGAAUCACAUAUUUGACCAACAGAAACAAGAUUCAAUUCAAGGUUCAGAAUAAGAUAAACAUUAGAGAGAUAUAAGUGAGGUGUGACAACAGAACCAACACCUGCUAAAGGCAUGAGAGUGCCAUCAACAGUCAUAACAGGAAUGGAGAACGAAAGGGAAACAGAGGUAAAAGAUGAAAAAUAUGGAGAUAUAUGAUGUGACAUACUUGAGGAGCCAAAAGGCAACUAACCUAUGGAAGAAGAAGUAGACAUUGCUUGUGGCUAUACGGAGAGAAACUUCUUAAAUUGCUCAACAAGAUGCUCGCCAUCUAUAAGACUUUAAUAAAAGUAGUAAAGUUCUCGAUUUUGUUUUGGUUGAUAUUUUUUUUUAAUUGAAACAAUACAUUUUGGUUCUAGAGCAUUUUAGCGAGUCGUUUUAAAAUUAUACUAUUUCAGGGUUUUAUUAAUUGGAACAUAACAGGCGGAAUAAAACUAGAACAAAGUAAUUGGAAUGUGGCUGAGAAAUCCAGAAUGAAUCGAGAUUUAUUGAGAAAAAUGAUACGAUGUAUGCCCAUGGACGGUAAUGGAACAUAAUUGAGUAACGAAACAUAAUUGAUAAGCUUGAACAGGACACUAAAUCUCAAUUGGCUUACAAAUUGGUUUGAGGAUAGUGAGAAUAUAGAUUUUUCUUUGCUGAGUUUUCAUUAUUCAAUUAAGUUGAAUAUUGACAACACAUGUUUUAAUUUCUUGGCAGAAUUUUCUUCACGCACUGCACACAGCCCUGUGUGAGGGGUAAAGUCACGGGAUUAUUAUUGAAAAAAUAUGCUCCAUCAACCAAAUAAACUAAGUGCUCCUGUCAAGUGGAGCACUAAAGACAUAUCUUAUUAUUAUUAUUAUUAUUAUUAUUUUUGGUAUGAUAUUUUAUGUAUUAUCAGCAAGUGAGCUGCACCAAGGCAAUAAGCAAUUGUCUACUAUUCGCUGUUUUUAUCUUUGAUUUUUAUAUAUACAUUGAAGAUUAAUAAGCAAUUCAUCUAAAAAAUAUGAUUUCAAUAAUUUAGUUUUUGUUCAUUAGCUGACAAAAUCUUGUAACGUAUAGCUUUAUUAUAUUAAAUUUAACCAUCAAAAUCUUGUAAAAGGCUGAAGUUCAUAUUAAUUCCCAAUAUAAAUAAUCCAGUAGUCCGAUGGUAGAGCACACAAUAGUUUACUAUUUUAUUCGUAACACAACACAACAGUUCAUCAUUACAGAAUAACUUAUUAAGUUUUAUUUUACAUGCCAACGCAACAAAGACAUAACAUAAAGAAGUAGUCCCGAGAGCAUGAUACAGUAUAGGGCAAGAGGCCAGUAAUCUUCGGGUAUUUGACCGUCAUUGAAACAAUAGCCGGCUAAUUAGCCUGCAGCUUAAAAGCCUCCAAGGCGACAUCAGUGCCACCAGUCUUUUUCAAGAAAUGGGACAUGAACUCUUUAUACUGAAAGGAUUUAUAGAUUGCAGGAUUGCGUGGAUCAACAAGAGCUUUGGCAGGCUCUACAGUGCUGUCACCAUUAGGAAUGAAAAACAUGGCAACACUUGUCCGCGCUUUCUCUGAAUUUGUCACUGCUCGAUGCUCGACGCUUCUCAGCUUGUUGUUACUGAUAAUCUAAACAUAGACCAGCCAUUUUGUGAGAUUAAAGCUCAAUAUAUAUAAUCUCAUCAAGGAUAUAUUAGUGACAUUAAAUAUAAUGAAAUAUAAACGGAACCUAAGAGUUUGUCUAAUGGUUGAUUAAGGCCGGUGUGUGCUCCGUUCUUGCCCUUUUAGGAUUUAAACUCUAUAUUAUCGGUAAAACUCUCACGAUUUUUCUAGUUGUGUACAAAUAAUAUGUCUCUUUACUGAUUCAGAGCUGUGAACAAAAAAUAAAAAAAGUUAAGCGGGAGUUUACCUGCAUUUGGUAUCCCAUGUUAACCACAAAUGCAUUAGAAAUUGGCUCAACACCAAUCCAUUCACCAUUCUUUAAGACUUGAAGCCCAAACACAUCACUAUCUUGUUGUAAAAUGGUUAUGAGAUUAGGAUCACAGUGUUCGGAGACUCCGAGGGUCAAACUUGGAUCUGGGCAUGGCGGAUAAUGAUUGACUAACAAACUUGGGAUUUCACUGAGCUUACCCCCAAAAUGCCCAGACUCCAGCCCCAGUCCUUCACAAAGUAACUCCAAGAUUGUUGCGGACAACUUUUUUACUUCAGUAGCAUAAGCCCCGACAACGUGUCUGUAAAAAAUAACGGAAAUAUAUAUAAAGUCUGGAAAAACUACAAUUUUUAGAGAAAUUAAGGUAUCGAGAAUGAUUGUCAGUCCAUAUAUACAAAUUUGCAAGCUCAAUUUACCGGUAUCUUGUUGGUUUUUCAGGCCAGUGUUGAAUGCAUUCCUCUAGAGGAUGACAAGAGUUCCUUAAAUUAUCUCGCCAUAAGUGAACAUCUUCAGUAGCAUAAAGUAAACUACUUGUAUACAAAAUGCAAUGAUUGUUUCUCAUUGCAUCCUCGCAGUAGAAGCUUGUCUUGUCCUCUUCAGGCAACUCAAAGAAUUCCUUGAAGACACUCAUUGUGUCAUUCAUCAAAUCUUCAGCGACGCCAUGAUUGAUCACCUGCACUUAAUUUGUGAAUUUAUCAUAACUUAUAUAAUUCUCUACUUUGAUCAUCUAUUAGGCCUAUGAUGACCAUUAAUUUUAAAUCAAAGUGGUAAAUGAUUGCACAUACUAAAGCUAAAUCACAUUCGAGCAUGUUACUGUUAAAAGAGGAAUACAAUAAAACGAUAUCAUGCGAUUUUAUCAUACAGUUCUAGCUCAUAUAGUCAUGGACCGUGUAAAUAUCAAAGCUCAUAAUAUUUGAAGUUGUGAACCUGAAAAAAUCCAUAAUCUUGACCAGCUUUCAGAAUUUUUUGUAUAGUAGCAUCUCUAUCUUGACUAAUGGCUAUUGCUUCAAGAUCUAUAACUGGUAUGGACUUGCUUGCAUUGAAAGUGACAUUCCCUGGUCGCUUUUCCGGUGGAAAAAUGUACUUCUCAGGCACGGUUUGGACAUUAUUCCAGCUUGAAACGAGCUUCUCCAUUACCUAGCUAUGAUGCCAAAUUUCUAUUUAGCUACAAUAAGCUUGUGGACAAUUAUUGCUGUCUGAAUUCCAAACCAAUGUGUCUUAUAUAUAUACUUGUGCAUGUGUGGACUCAAUUGGAUUGCUAAGUUAUUGGAUGCUGUUAAGCUUGACGGACAAUUUGAACCAUAACAAUAGAAAAACAAAUUAACGUGGGGGGAAAAAAGAAUCAUAUAUUUAGACACGCAACACCAGAAAAUUAAUUGUAUUUUUUUUUAUGUUAGAUAUAAUCCCUAGCAAGUCUAAUUAAGUAGUAGCAAUGGGUGCAUUCAUAUCUUAUCUAACAAUAAUUAACGAUUGAUAAAUGUACAAACUACAAUGCAUUAUACAAUGACAAUAAAUAUGUUAGUUGCAUAAUGAUAUUUUACAUCUAAAAUUAGUUUAGACCCACUAUUAAAUAUAAAUCCUCAUCAUCUUCUUGUUCAUCAUCUUUUUUAUUGAAUUGAAGUUAUUCGAUCCUUUCAUCCUCAUCUUCAUCAACUGAUGUAUUUUUAUUGAUACUCAAUAUAUCAUUUAACUUGUCAAUAUCAACAUAAACAUAAGUAUUCUUUGCGACAUGAAAAUUUAAAUCUUCUUCUAACUCAACAAAUCAAGCAAUUCAAUAUAGAUCAACUAACUCACUUAGUUGAAAUACAUGUUCUCCCCAAUUACUUUAUCAUUACUAUAUUUAACAACUUGGACAUGACUUUUAAGUCUGAUUUUCACAAUAAAUAACCAAUCAACUCUAUUAUGAUCAUUUUUAAAGGAAUGAGUGUAUGAGUAAUAUACUUGCUGGCAUUGUUUGGCAAAUAUAAAAACAUCAUUGAUGUUGCUAAGUUUAUCUCUUUUACUGAUUUCGACCAAACCAUAAUGAUGAUCUACCCUAAUUCCUCUAUCGGCAUAAUGUUAAUAGCAUUCGAAUGAAAAAAAAAAACUAUAUUCAUUUCAUUGAUAAUGCAAUCUUUCACCAUUGUAGGUUAGUAUUAUCCCAUUCUUUUGAUUUGAAAGUGAAGUUUAGGACCCGGUUGAUGUGCUUCAUAGAUCCUUGAGUGUGUUUCUUCUAGAACGGUUACAUUUAAUAAAUCAUUAUGAAAUUAGUUGAAUAUUCUUCCUUAGAUUUAUUAAUUUUUGACGCAACAAAUCAUUAAACCUUACUUACUUCACAAAUUAGAGAUUAAACAAUUAUGAAUUUGAUAUCUAACCCAAUAGUAGAUUGCAAUGGAUAAUAAACUAGUAGGCCUUUUAGUAAUUAAACAGGACAAUCAUGAAAAUAGGCACCGAAGAACAUUUAACACUUAAGGCAUAAAUUGAACAAUAAAAACAAAUUAGAUCUUAUAGUCUUAUUGAUUUUGAGUUUUCCAUUUUCUUUUACCAAAUAAAAAAGUUAGCUACAUGGGACCAUUAUCGUUACCUAUUUUUGGGUCCCGACACAAAAAAAAAAAAAAAAAAAAUUCAGAAAAAAACCAAAAAAUAAUAGUAGUGGGAAAAGGAUGUCUGAGCGCCCAGAAAAUGGCCAAAAAUUGGUUGCAGAGGUUUAAAAAUACAAAGAUUAAAAUUUAACAGUAUAUUUACUCAUGAGAGCCUUAUUGACAAAGAAAAUUCAAUUUGAGGAAGAAAAGUUCAAAAUCAGAUGUUUAUGGACUCCAUUAAAUUUUAUUAAAGGUUUAAUUGAAUUUAUGGAGAGUUUGAUUGCAACAAAAAAAUAAUUUUUAAGUCAAUUUAGGCUUUAAUUGGAAGAAACUAAAGUUUAGGGAUCAAAUUAUCAUUUUUAAGAGUUGAUUUGGUCAAAUCAGGGGCUUAAUUGCAUAAAUAUUGAAGUUUGAUGGCUAAUUAGGGACUUGAUUAAAUAAAUCUGAAACCAAAGACCAAACAAGAAAAGACGUGUAAAUAGAAGGGCUAGAAUUGAUUGAAUCAGAGGCUAAAUUGAAGAAAUUGAAAGUUUGUUGAUCAAUUGUGUGUCAAAAUGCACAAAUUCAAAACCAAGGAUUAAAGUGAAAAAGACGGCCAACAUUAGGGUCAACAUUGGAAUUUGACAAGGAUGCAAUUGAACUGAUUUUUAAAAUCAAAAUUACAAUUGAGGACUUGAUUGGAGAAAUCACAAAUUGAGAACUGAUUUGGAAGUUUAAACAUUUUGGCACAAUUUUCUUUUAAAUGAAAUGAUUCAUUUUGGUCAAAGCGACACUAUUUCAUUCACUCUUUUUAUUUUUUUUUAAAAGAAGACAGAAGCACAAAACGAUGUCGUUUUGAAUGACACUACGCUUCUUCUUCCCUGGACGCAUAACAAGGGAAGAAGAAGUUUCCCCCCCUCUCCCUCCCCACUUGCCCAAACCCUAGCAUAACCCAUACCCGCAUAUGUCAUGCCACUAUGAUGAAGAAAAGAGAGGGUAGCCAUGCCCUGCAAGCAGCUCUUGGGCAGCUGCAUAGAGGCCGUCCCAUGCCACACCUUGAGCCAUGACUGGACAGGGCAAGGUGGCUCCCUCUCCUCCUGCUUAUAAAUACCAGAUGAAAAGAGAGAAACAAUAGGGGGGGUUUGGGAGAGAAAGAUUUUAGAGAGGUGUUGAGAGAGAGAAAGAUUUUGAAAAAAAAAACUGAGAAAGGGCGGAAUGAAAAACAGAGGGACAUUGUUUGAGAACCAGGGGAGUUGAAAAAAAAACGAGAGAACAAAAAGACAGAGAGGAAAGAAUAGAAAAAAGAAAGAAGAGAAGAACAAGGGAGAGAGAAAAAAAAAUAGAAAGAAAACAAAACGAAAAGAAAAGGAAAAGCAAAGGGAUUUGAAGAGUAGAAACAGAGUAGAAGGAAAAAACAGACAAAGAACAGGGGACAAGUGAAUUGAAAAAACACAAAAAGGGGGGAGGGAGGGAAAAGAAUGAAAUACAAAAUAGAGAGUUAUGCCAAGAUUACAAAGUUGUGUCAAAACUAUCUAGAAUUGUCUAAUUAGAUUUGUUUGGCCUUUAAUGCCUCCAUUUUCAUCCUAAAUCAAAAUAUAAAAAUAACGAGUGCAUGUAGGCACCAAAUAAGUAUAAAAAAUUAAACAUUAUGGAAUAAAAAUAUGACAUUUGGCGUUCUCAUCACAUAUUAUGAACUGUUAUGAUGUAAUAUGUUGCAUGAAGUAUUCUCCGAAUAUAUAUGUUAUGAACUGUUUGUAUGAAACAUGUUAGGAACUUUUAGGAUUUUGUUGCAUAAAUAUUAUUAACUAUUAUCACGCUACAUAACACUAUUUCAAUUAUGCUUGCAGGUAUACAUUAAUGAAGCAUUUGUUUAUGAUUGAACUAUCUGAACUACUUACAUGCUAAUUCAUCCUCAUGAUGUUUUGUCACUAAUCAACUAAAGAGGGAGAUUGUAAAUGUCAAAAUGUUUGGUUUUGAUUAGUGAAAGAUUAUUUGCGUUGUUGAAGAUCAUUUUGUUUAGGUUUCUACUUUAUUCAAAUUAGAUAAUGAAUUAGUCAAGUUUAUCUCAUAGGAUAUAGCAUGAUUAUUUAUGUAAUUAUCUAUGAAUAAAUUAUAUAGGAAAUUCAGAUAAGUUUUAUAAAAAAAAGAAGAUAAAUACAAGUUAUCGGAAAAUAACAAUUAGAUAAGUGUUUUUGUGAAACAUGUUAGCAAUUUAUUAAGAAUGUAACAAACUAGGGAGCUUAAAGAUAAUGUUUAUUAAAUGUUCUUAUCCUUUUCACAUGGAUGUGUAUAUAAGGAAGGACAAUCAGAAGCAUUUGAGGGUUGCAUUGGAAGCGAAGAAAGAGUGCUCAACCAGCUAAAGAGUUACACAAAGUUUCACAGCAUAUACUCUUGGCACACAAGUAGAGUGUGAAGAAAAUUCUCAAGGAGAAUUGUUCUCAGAAGAGUUGGAGAGCCUGCAUACUUCCAGGGGGAGUUCCUAUGUUAACUAUUAGCAACUAGAUGUUUUAGUUAGGAUGAGAACAAUUUGAAGAUUGUUAGUUGUUUUGGCAAGCUAUUGCAGUAGAAGACAAAACAGAGUGUUUGUCUUGUGUUUGUCUUGACAAGUAAGGUAGUAUAGAUGCAAAGGAUUGGUAGUGAAAAAUACUCCUCUUGUAAUCUUCUAUACUAGUAAAAUUUGUAUAUCUUGAGUUUGGCUGCCCCAUAUGGUUUUUUUAUAUAUGUAUCUUUUGAAAAAUUAUUUAAAAUAUUUUCUCUUUAUAACCAAAUAAUUUGUUCAUUUAAGUUUUCUGUAGUUAUAUUUAUUUGGUUACUGAUCAGUGUUUGUAAAGUAUUAACAAAUUGAUUGUUAACAUACAUGGAACAUAAACGAGACUAUUAGUUAUUAAAAUGAUAAAUUUAGAAUCUUGUGUUUUCACAUUUUCCAUAUUAUAUAAUAUAUAUUAUCCAAAGUUUGCAAGCAGGUCAUCAAUGUUGAAUUAUGAUUAAAUUAUUAGCAUGUAUUAUUAAUAUUAAUAUCCGCGUUUAUUAGAUGGAUACCUUUAUUAAUUGAUUUGUUGUUCCCUUUUCCCUUGUGUAGCUAUUUGGUUUGGUAUGUGCAUCCGCGCCAAUACUAUUUAAUUGCAAUUCUCUUCAUCAUGUGAUAUAAUUAAAUGAUUAAAGUCAAGCCCAUACGUCCGCAACAGUACUCACCUGCCAAUAUUGUGAGAUUAUUACUUGCAAAAAGAAAACUCUUGUCUGUGUGUCUAUAUAUAUGAAAAUAAACUUACUAUUUAUUUAGUAAAAUAAAAAUUAGUUGAAAAGUCUUUAUUCAUUUUCACAAUAAACAACGAUAAAUAUCCGCACAUAAAGUUUCAACACCAAGAACCAUUCCAAAAACUUGGUACGAACCAUGCACCCACACAUGGUAUGGACCGAACUCCUUAACUAUUCAUAAAAACUUUAACUAUUUAAGUUAAUAAAAGCAUGGAGAAAAAUAUAAACAGGUAAAAAAGAUGAAAAUUGCAGAAUAUAUUUUUGAGUUGUGAAUAUGUUUUUGUAAGAAUAUCACUAGGGGUGAUAUUUAGAGCCAAGACAAGAGUAUUCUCCCCGGCCCCUCCUUAAAUUUCCCCGUACUUUAAAAUGCCCCCAUCCCUAUCAAAUAAUUCCAGCCCCUUUGUCCCCCCCAAAAAAAACCUCGCAAAUUCCCUGCACACAGCCCUGUGUGAGGGGUAAAGUCACGGGAUUAUUAGUGGAGCAAUUUGCUCCACUAACCAUAUAAACUAAGUACUCCUGUCAAGUGGAGCACUAAAGACAUAUAUUAUUAGUAUUAAAAUAAUAAUAAUAAUAAUAAUAAUAAUAAUAAUGGUACACACGCUUCAUCAUGUCACUUUUUUGGAAUAAUCCUUCUAUUAUAUCAUUGCUCACAAACAUGAUACUUAUAAAAAACAAAAAAACAGAAAACAAUGGGAUAAACAGGAUAGCUCACGGAAUUUCAGAUCUAAAUCAUGGAAUAAAAUCAUCUCUGUCUUGCGUGAUCGAUCGUGUAAUUUUUGUUCUUUUUUUUAAAUAGUCGUAACCGCAAACUUAAAAAACUGCAAAAUCACAUCUUUCUUUAUAUCUUCCGUUGCCAAGCAUCUUUUAUUAUACUCAUUUUUUUUUUUUUUUUUGUCAAAACCUGAAUAGGUUUGAUUCACAUUAUUUUCAAACUCCUUACGAAGAUUUUUUGUUUGUAGGCCAAGUGGUCAAGUAAACAUCGGUUCUAUUUGGGAAUGUAUUUGUACGGAAGUUAAUUUAUUAUUAUUUUUAAAAAUUAAAUUGUUUUGUUUUUAAAUUAUUUUAAUAUGUUGAUAUUAAAAAAUUUGACUUGACCCACUUUCUUCAGCAUCUAGUGUGAUAACUAAAAUCAAACGGCAUUGCAUUUGGUCUAUAAACUAUAAAUUAAGGUGUCAAAAGUGUGAUAUCCCACUUUCUUUAUUAUUAGUCUGUAACAACGUACCUUUUCGUUUCCUUUAUCACUACUGGCCAAAUUGAAGUUUCUCAAAUUCUAGAGUUAUAGUUUUAAAAUUAUAUAGGAAUUGAUAGAAAAUUCUGAUAUUUUUUUGAAAAGUUAGUAAAUCAAUAAUCUAAUCCUAAAACAAUAUUCCCAUUGUUGAUAUAAAACUUUAAAACCGACCUUAUCAAAAGAAUUAAAAACUAAGUGAGAAAAAUAAUUAAAAUCCAAAAUUAAUUAAAAAAAAAUUAAAAUUACAAAAAUCGAAUCUUCCAAGCCUAAUUUAAAAAGAUUUAUGUCGUGGAUAUAAAAUCAUCUAGUAAAAUUAGAGCAAAAUUCAAUAGUCGAAUCUAAAAUUAUAAUUGUUUUAGAUAUGUUUCAUGUCUUAUAUGUCUGGGUUUUUUUUGGAUUUCUUUUCAAGCAUGGCAUUAUUUACUUAGUUUAUAAAUCUAUUUAUAACAUUUUACAUGUUAGAAUUAAAGCAUAAAAUGUUGUGUACGCCGAUUCUUGACUUGCGGUGUUCCAUUUUGUUUUUGUAGUGCAUUUUUUAAAGUUGUUUUUGGGAUUUCUUUUAUUAUUAUUAUUAUUAUUAUUAUUAUUAAUCUAGCCAAUCAACUCAUCAGCCAAACAUGCCACAUCAAACUUAAUUAGGCAAUGAAAUUUAUUUGUAUCAAUGAAUUUUCUUUGCUCAAUUAUAUAAUAUACUAAAAGUAAUCAGUGUUCAUGUUACUGUUUACCUAGACACAAAGCAUUGUGGAUUGGAGUAGUGUAAUGACAAACAAUCCAUUACCACAGAGAGUUGCAAAGGCACUAGGGGAGGGUGGAGUUGUCUUUUUUGCUGGGAUGCAUUUGACAUUGAAAGAAUGGUUGGGGAGAAAAUGAUUAGCUCAAGUUUUGGUGGGGCUACAGGCCCUGCGAUGCGGACACCUGGUGCUGGGGCUAGCUUGCCCUGGGUGUGAGCCAGACCCACACCCCACUUGGGAAUACUUUGAACUACAAUAAAAAUAAAUAUUAAUACUUUCAAUUAUAAUAAAAAUAAAAAUAUUUGUACCGCAAAUAAUAAUAUUUAUACCACAAAUAAUACAAUUUUUAAUAUUAAUACUUUCAAUGAUAAUAAAAAUAAUAAUCUUUAUACCACAAAUAAUAAUAUUUUUUAUAUUAAUACUUUGAACUAUAAUAGAAAUAUUAAUACUUAUAACACAAAUAAUACUAUUUUCAAUAUUAAUACCUUCAAUUAUAAUAAAAAUAAUAAUAUUUAUGACACAAAUAAUAAUAAUAAAAUAAUAAUUUUUAAUUUUAUCCUUCAAAUCAAUUAUAUGGUUUUUCUUUGGUGGUUAUUAUUAUUAUAUUAUAUAUAAAGCUAAAUCAUGUGGGAAAAGUCAUGUUCAUCAAAACUCAUUGCACAUUUGGUGAGGGCAUGGUGAGCUGCAGCCUCACGCAUAGACACCUAGCGUAAGGGCAUUCAUGCCCAACCACAAAGAGUUCCAAGGUUGCAGGGGGGAAAGGUUAAGCCCUAGGUUACGGACACCUGGUGUUGGGGCUAGACCUGCGAGCCUGCUGACCUGCACGUUGGGUCCGAACAUGGACCACUUUCUAUUAGGUCAGGCGUCCUGUCCCAAAUCACUUGGGUCAGGACACAAACUAAGCCUUCAACCCCCUUGGGUCUGGACACGACCCAUUCCUAUACCCCUUGAGGUUCAGACACGACCCCAUCCCCAAUGCCCUUGGGUCCGGCCACGGACCCAAACCCCAACAUGAUUGGGUCCGGACACUAACCCAACCUCCUUGGAUCCAGACAUGAACCCACCAACCACCUCCAUAGGGUCCCCACCUGACCCGACUCCCAAGCCCCUUUGGUCCGGACGUGAACCCAACCCUCAACCUCUCAUGCGUCCAGACUUCGAAGGACCCAAACACCAACUCCUUAGGUCCGGACACAGACCCAACCCCCAACCUCACUUGGGUCCGGACACGGAUGGACCCAACCCCACCUUAGUUCCAGACGCGGAAGGACCCAAAACCCUUGGAUUCGACCACUUACAGACCUAUACCCCAACUUUUUUGGAUCCAGACAUGGACCCAUCCCCCAACCCCCUUGGGUCUGGACGUGGACCCAACCCCCAACCCCCUUGGGUUUUAAUUUCCUGAGUUAAUUUCAUCCUGGCUGGACUUUAAUAUCUCUAUAUACACACUUGAGGCCGGAUGAGCUUGUCUCUUUAGCAGGCCUUCUUAGGCUUUUGUUCUUUCAAACAAUGUCAGCUCUCAGCCCAUUAUUUUACAGAAAAUGUAAAAUACACUUGUCAUGGCUGAUUGAAAUCGUGGAAGAAAAAACUAGAGGAAAGAUAACCGAUUUACAGUUCAAACAAUGUCAACGAAGACCAAUGCAGAGGAAUUUCAAAGGCGAAAAAAGGUGGCGGCUCAGAAAGGCUUUACAAUGCAGUUCAUCUAAAGAUAAACCUAAUCUGAAUUAAUUGUUCGGUCUCCUUCAAAGCGAAAUAACUUUGCCAGGUUUCCUCCCAGUGAAAUUUCCUCCCAGGUAGCAAAUUGAUUUUUCAUCUCCGGUGUUCUUCCUAAAAAAUUAUUGUACGAAACGUUAAAAACUUUUAGAAAUUUCAGUUCAACGAGUUGUGCAGUAAUUCUCCCAUUCAAGUUGUUGUGUGAAAGAUCCAAGCUCUCUAUCUGCUUCAGAUUGGAGAUAGAUGGAGGGAUCAAUCCAGCCUUCUCCUUUACAGCUUCCAAAAGAAAAGGUGAGAAUGGGCUAUUCUUGCUUUUGAUUGAAAUCAUAACAUGCUCCACUGAUUGACUUUUGGUGUAACAUUUUGGUACGAAGCAUGCUUAUUGCCAUGUUUUAACAUGCCUUUAUUUUUAAUUUUUUUAUAAUGUCAUUUUAUUGUGUUGUGGGGAUUUAGACACUGUUAGGACUCUCUUUAUACCCUAAUCUUUAUAAAAAUCAUUAAAAUUAUUAUAACAAAACUCAUCUCCUAUCCAUUUUAAGUGCAUUUAUAAAAUAACCACUUUCUUUUCAAUUAAUAUCUUAAACUUCUUAAAACAAUUAAACUUUUUUAAAAAAAAUUAUAGGAUAAAAGGUAUAGACUACAUAUUUUUACCAAAUGAACAUUGUUUGAUAAAGUUGAAACAAGGUUUCUGAUAAUUGAGAAGCUUAAUCUAAUGAGAUAACCACAUUUACUAUUUAUAUUAUUAGGGCACUACAUGUGUUAUGGUGUAGCAUACUACACACGAUAAGUCAAUGCAUUAAUAAUACAAUAUUUUCUAUUCUAACACAUUCCAUAAUACAUCCUCUCAAGCCGAAGAUAAGUUAUUUACAUGAAGCUUGGAAUGUAAAUGAGCAAAUGUAGAGUAAAAGAGUGGUUUAGCAAGAACAUUUGCUUGACUUGUGGUGUUCUAUCUUAUUUAUGUGGUGCAUUUUUAAACUUGUCUUUUGGAUUUUUUUUAUUUUUAUCAAUCUUGUCAAUCAACUCAUCAGCCAAACAUACCACAUCAAACUUAAUUAGGCAAUGAAAUUUAUUUUUAUCAAUGAAUUUUCUUUGCUCAAUUAUAUCUAAAAUAAGAAGUGAAUACAUUAGAUAUAAAAAAAAAUACAUUUAUUUAUUUUGAGACGUCCUUGACAUUGAUGAUUAGUUGCCACUUCAUCAUCAAAUCAAAAUUAAAAUGUUAAUCAAAAUUUAUAAUUUCCAUUAAGCUCCAUUGAAUGUAAACAAUGAAUUUAUAAAAUAGUCAAAAGUGGGAUGUCGUGAUUUCAACAAUGCCGUUUCAGAAAAUUGAUAGUUAUGAUGAAAAGAAGAAUAUAGAAGUGUUGAGUUGAAACGUCGUGUUUGCCUGAAUUGUAUAGUGACAAUGGUGGAACUGAUGCGGUUGCAUAACAGCACCAACCAGUACUUUCCUAAUGAUUUCCUUGCGGAAGAAAUUAUGCAUGUUGGAAAACGAUGCCACCCUAACAAUCCAAGAGUUCAAAUUCAACUUGAAUAAAAGCUUGAUAAAUGGAUAAUUUAGAGGAUAAAGGAUCCAAGAAAUGAAACAGGGGAUUGUUCUAUUUUGUUAUGUAACAAUCUCAACAGGUAAUUAAGAGGUUAGAUUUUAGGGUCUAAUUUCAAAUGCAAGAUUCUAUUAAUUCUCAUCAUUAUAGUAAUAACACCAUGUACAUUAUUAUUAAAUUAAGAGGAAACACAAAAUUAAACAAGAAAAUCUUCAGAGUUCAGAAAUAAAUCUAACAUUGCCGAACAGACUGUGAGCAAACCCAGAUUUGGUGGAAGGUAGAAAUAUGAAGAGAGAGCAGAAAUUGAUGGUCUCUUCUGCUUUUCACGGUCUCCUUGUUUUGCAUAUAAGGUUCCGCCAUCUAAGCUUCUCAUUGGUCUCUUUAGCAGGCCUUCUUAGGCUUUUGUUCUUUCAAACAAUUCAGCUCUAAGCCCAUUAUUAUCCAAAAGAGUUGUUUCCAGUAACAAGUUACCUCGUUUUCUUUUCUUUUUUGUCACGAAAAAACAAGUAAAGUGUAUAUCUAUGGAAUUCAGUUACAGAAAAUGUAAAAUAUACUUGUCAUGGCUGAUUGAAAUCGUGGAAGAAAAAACUAGAGGAAAGAUAACCAACGAAGACCAAUGCAGAGGAAUUUCAAAGGGGAAAAAAGGUGGCGGCUUUAUGGUGCAGUUCAUCUAAAGAUAAACCUAACCUGAAUUAAUUGUUUGGUCUCCUUCGAAUCUUGAUAUGACAUUACAUUUUUAAAGUUAAAAGUGCUGAAGCACAAUUCAAAGAUAAUAAGUAGUCCAAUGGAGGAGAAUGGUGUGCUGAAACACUAUGAUUUUCAAAAAAAAUUGAAGCAUAUCAGAUCCAUGCUGCUGCAUUCGCAAGAAACGAGCACCCAUCAACAAUGUGCUAAAUGUCAAUGCAGAGCUUUAAAUCAUCUACAGAGGCUCAUGAAGAAAAUAGGCAUAAAUGAUAACAGAUAACACGCCAGAGCACUCUACGUAAACUGAUAUCUUUAGAAAAUUCAAAGGCAUGAAUGAAAAAGAAAAGCCAGAAAUAUCUAAGUCAACUCUUAAUUUGUAACAGUCCACAACUUCAUGUUUGGUGUUUCCAAUGUAUCGAUUGUAAUCAAUCAAGAGAUCAUCAUCUAUUUGUAACAGUCCACAACUUCAUGUUUGGUGUUUCCAAUGUAUCGAUUGUAAUCAAUCAAGAGAUCAUCAUCUAUUUGUAACAGUCCAUAAUUUCAUUAAAUAUGCAUGAUUCCAAUGUAUGUUAGUUAACCACAAGGCCAAAUAAACAACAGGAAUAAGAGAAACUAUUUUUUAUUUGAGAAAAUACGAUACUGCAAACUAUUUCUUAUGAAUAAAUCCGGUAUUACAAGAAGCCAAGAAUUGGUUGGUUGCUCAGCACAACAUAACAUAACUGGUACAAACAAUUACUGAUACAAGCACAAGGACAAACACAAGUCACAUCAAAACAGAAAGGCUAAGCAACAAGAACACUUCCACAGAGCACUUCUCACAGGCAAAUUGCUAAACAUGCAGUGAGCAACCAUUGAUUUGGAAUGCGACUGCUUCUCCACAGAGGAUUACAACAAAUUCAGAAAGCAGCCCACACGCUCCUGAUAAGAUCCAAUCACCUUCUGAAUCUGGACAACUUGGGAAAGUUUAUAGCCAAAAAGCAGCAGCAAGUGUCAAUGCAUUCUUCAAUGAAGUAAAACCACCUGCGUCGCCAAUACGGAUUUAUGCACAGUACUGCUGCAAUUGUCAACACCACAGUUAUGUAAAAACACACCAAAGCUGGCAUAGAAACUGUCCAUGUCUAUGAAGCCACCAUCUCCAUUGAAAUCGUUAGGCACUCUCGCGGAUGGUGAUUCUGUUUUGUCGCAACUAUUUUGCAAUGGAGGUCCACAAAGAAGAGGAUUCCCUUUAUAACUGCUCUCAUCAAAGGUACCAAAUUGAUUUUUCAUCUCCGGUGUUCUUCCUGACAAAUUAUUGUAUGACACGUUGAAAACUUCUAGAAAGGUCAGUUCAACGAGUUGUGCAGGAAUUCUCCCAUUCAAAUUGUUGUGAGAAAGAUCCAAGCUCUCUAUCUGCUUCAGAUUGAAGAAGGAUGAAGGGAUCAAUCCAGUGAGAUUAUUAUGUGACAGAUUUAAAGAAUAUAUCCCACUUAAGUUUCCCCAUUCUGUCGGGAUUUCUCCAGUGAAUCUGUUACAAGAAAGAUCCAUAACAGACAUGUAACGAAGGAUAUCGCCUUCGUAAGUGUAGAAACGUUUCUUUGCUGUAAGCUCUAUAGAUAUUUUUACACUGAUCGCUGCCCACAAAAUAUUGUGAUGAAGAGAAAAUCCUCUUCCCCCUAUGGAUGCAAAUUUUAAAAAUCCGCUUCCAGAAUCCAAUCCCGUACGAGGGGGAUCCAAAGUUUUUUCAUCUGAUGCCGUAAAAUUUAAAUUGCUCAAACAUGAGGGUAACAUACCAGAAAAAUUAUUUUCUGAAAGAUCCAAUAUGCUUAAUUUCUUUAAGAAGCAUAACUGACGAGGAAGUUUCCCAUUGAAUUGAUUAGAUUUGAGAACAAAAAUGCUCAAUUCUGAAAGGCUAUCAAUCCAAUUUGGAAUGGGCCCAGUUAAGUUGUUAUCGCCGAGAUCUAAUGUCACCAACGAAGAGAGAUUAUAAAAACAUAUGGCAGUGGACCGCUCAAUUGAUUUCCGUAAGGUGGACAUAGCGUAAAUCUGAUGCAUGGAAGCCCAACGGUAAUGACCCAGACAGAUUGUUUUCAGAAAGAUCUAAAAAUUCAAGCCCAGAAGAAUUGAAAUAUUCUAUUGGAAUGGUACCUUCAAAAUGAUUUCUGGACAAAUCAAUUCCCUCAAGUGUUUUGAAGAGUUCCCAUUCCCCUUGGAAGCAUGCCUGACAAAAGAUUGUUACUGAUAUCAACCACAAAAGUGAUGAUUCAAGAGAAAAGUACCUGAUACUUGUCCUACAAAUUUGUUUCCAUCUAGAAGAGGUAUAGGUAGUCAUGUUGAACACAGAUGGUGGUAAUCGCCCAUUGAAGUGUUGUUGGACAGCUUCAAAAACCACAACGAGGAGCCUACUGUUGGAAAUUAUGCUCAAGCAGUUCACAAGACAUGUGAUUGUUGGAAAGAUCCAAGUAUUCGAGAGAGCUCAUAUUCCCAAAACAAGGAGGAAUACAACCUGUGAGGCUGUUGUUAGCCAUCAUGAAGUUCUUCAAACGUGGAAAAAUCGAACAUAUGUUGCUUGCAAUUUGACCUUGUAUGUUGUUGCCAGACAUAUCUACUGUCUGAAGGUUGGGUGUUGGAUGUUGUGGCAGCUGCAAAGGACCACCUAUAAAUGAGGUGUCUCUCAAAUAUAGUCGAUUUAACAAUCUAUUAUUCUCAAACAGCCAAGAUGGGAAAGGUUCUCCAACGAAUUUGUUGUGGGAUAGAUCAACAAACACCAAAUCAUGUUGGCUAUGGAGGAAGUUUGGAAAUCCAGCUUUGAGUGGUUUUGGAGUACAGUUUGAAGCACUAAAAGCACGAAGCUGGAACUUUGGAACUAAAGGCUGAAAACUGGGUGCAGCAAUUAGCUCAUUGUUAUCGCAUGCAAUGAACUUGAGGUUGGUGAGGUUCAUAAAUGAACCAAAUGAUAUUGGAACUUGAAAGUGGUUAUUUGAAACUUCGAGGUAUUUGAGCUGCGUAAGAUGGGAAAGGUGACUAAGGGCAAUAUUGCCCUCCAAUUGGUUGUCAGAUAAAUCCAAGAUUUGUAAAGAUGAUAGAUUUCCAAAACAAGGAGGGAGUACGCCUUUUAGAUUGUUUCCUGAGCGAAUGUUUGAGAGAAAUAGUUGUUCAAGAUUCUUCAAUUCACACCAGCCUGUAAAAUAUAUCAAUUAUGUAAUAUAUCAAUAAUAUCUCGAAUUGAAGAAAGUCCAUGUGAAAGAGAAAGAAGAAAAGGUACGAUGAAAAGAGUGGUGGUACACAAUAUCCAUUCCUUUCAAUAUUAACUUAAAUUAGUAUCUUUAAGAUUGCAUUUUUUGUCAAGAAGGAUAGAGUGGAAGUAUCCAUUUUGUGUAUUGUAAUAUAAUCAUCUGUUAAGCAGAAGUAAAACAGAGGAAUGAUUAUGUUAUUUCUUGCGUGCGGAAUCCUCCUACCAUUAUAUAUAUACUUCCCCGCAUGCAUUACACGAUUUAUUAUAUUGUUAACUAACUUUAACCGUCUCUUAACAACUUCUAACACGUGUCCAUGCAUCUGUCAGCUAUCUUAAAUUUAAGACUGAGAAAUUUUAGAGAUUGAGAAACUCUAGAUUUUAUCCUUUUCUAUACGUAACAUUAGGAGUAAAUUUCUAGUUUAAUAAAACACAGAUAUAGCACAAAUAUCUAAUGAACAACUGUUAUUUGGAUUUCAAUACUCUUAUAAUUGUUCAUUUGUAGAAUUACCUUCAGCAGGUAGGGUGCCAUGGAAGUCAACUCCUCUCAAGGAUAGGACUUUAAGAGUAGACAAGAGUCCAAUGUUCCUAAGAAAGCUUGCUGGGAGAGAAGAAUAAUCGAGGACCACUUCUUCAAGGCUAGACGAAUUACACAACCCUGUGGCACAGAUCAUAUAAAUCCAUUAAUGAUAGUGAUAUAUAUAUAUAUAUAUAUAUCAUAUUGUUUUAGGCACCAAAUUAAACUGUUACUGACCUUUCCCAAAGUGUUUAAAAUUAAUAUCAUCGGCAUAUAAGGUCUUGAGGGAAGGCAACGCUCCCAAUGACUCUAUUAAAAUGUUUUCCUUGUAGUCAGUUGAAUCCAUAUACAAGAUUUCUAAAUUCCUUAAACCUGUGAUAGAGAGAACCAUUAAUAAUAAUUAAUUAAUAAUUUAUAAACGUUACAAGACAUAGCUUAAGUUUUAAAUUAAAAUAAUUUUUAAUAUAAUAUUAAAAUUUUAUUAAUUCAAUAUUCACCUUCAUUUAUUUUUUUAAAAUUAAAAAAUUGAACAAAAGUUAAUAGUACUGUGUGUAUGUAAGUUUCAAAUUAUUUCACUAAAGAAAAUGCAUUAAAGAAUUAAUUAUAUAAAGCCUUUUUAAGGUUUCAUCCAAACAACUUAAGGGUUAAUACACAUCUAAUUAUUGAACCUCACUAGAAAAUGCUAUCAGAGGUAAGAAUGAUUUACAACUUUACCAUUGAGACUAGUUGAUCCUGUGAAUCUAUUGUUUGAUAGAUAUAGAGAUUUAAGAGAUGAAAAACCACUUAGAGAUGAUAAAAUGUUGUCGUUAAAUUUAUUGCAUCUCAGAUCAAGUUCCUUCAAAUUCCUUAACCCUGAAGCUAAGACUUGAAAACCUGAAAGAAAAUUGUCGAAGCAAAGAAAUUAGCAUAUAUAUCAACCAUCCUAAUAUCCGUAAAGAUUCAAUGUAAAGUUACUUGAAAUAUAAUUAACUUUAUGUGUUAACUAAAAGAAAAUUGAAAGCAUAGAACCUUGGUUCUUUAAGCCACCAACUAAUUUGUUGACGCUUAAGUCGAGAAUCUCCAGUUCUUUGAAAGGCAGAAACAAAGACGCAUUGAGAUCCAAGUCGACUUCGACUACAUUGAGAUAAUCAUAAUUUACAUCUGAAAGAUAUAGUUCGAUCACUCGGUUUGUGGUGGUGUCACACACAACCCUAAGCCAGUUACAGCAAUUAAAAUGCUCUUUAUCCCAACCUUCUAGAUCAUAGGACACAGCUGCACGUGCAUGAUUGACCCAAGCUUUUAUCUGUAAGAGACUAAUUCUCUCUUCGUCCAAACAACAAUGGCUCCGGUCGUUGAAGAAGGCCAGUGCCAUGAGCAGCAUCCACACCCACAUUUGCCUCAUCUUCAUAACGCUCCACUUGACCACAUACAAAAGCAAGCAAGCUGUCUCUUAUAUACUAUUUAAUUUGUCCUCUUCAUGCAUUAAUUUGAUCGGACAGUGACAAUUAUCUGUAUCAUUGAAUUUUCUAUGCCGAAUUAAUUAUCCAAGGGAGACUUGGGCUGCAUCUGCCAGCUACCAUAAUUAAUCUGCACUAACAGUGACCAUAACAGCUGUAACAAUACUCCCUCAGUACUUGUAACAUCAUCCUAAUAUAUAUUGAAUUAUUUGAUGAAAACAUUAUCUAAAACAUGAUUAAUUGACAUAUUUAAAGUCAAAUAAAAAACAAACCCAACUUAUUUUUAAUAUUAAAAAUUAUUUUCCAAUAUAAAUUUUUUAAUAUAAAAAUUUAAUAAAAUUAAAAUAAAUUAUGAUUACUGUUUGAGAAAUUGAUUUGAUCUUGGGCCCCAUAAUUAUUUUCACUAGUCUGUUAAAGUUCUUUUUCAAGCUUAUGGAAUGAGGUGCUCCUUCAAGUUAUUGUGUAAGCUACUUUGUUUUUUUUUCUUUGUAGACUCGGGAAGUCAUUUGUUUGAACAUUUGAUUUUCUAAAAAGUUUUUAUAUCUAUUUGUUUCUGGAUUAUAAAAAUAUUUUUAAAAAAAAUUAAAUUUUUUAUUAUUUUUUUAUUAUUUUUAAAUUAAUAUAUUUUUAAUAUUUUUAAAUUAUUUUUAUGUGUUGAUGUCAAAAAUAAUUUUUAAAAAUAUAAAAAAUAUUAUUAAUAUAUAUUUUAGUACAAAAUAUUUUUUAAAAAAGAAUCUCAACCAGACGGUUAAUCUCAUCAUCCACUAGCGCAUGUUUUUAUUCUUCCGGAGACCUGUGAAGUCAAGAUUCUCAAUUAUCCACUGCAUCAAUCUCUAUCCCAUCAAAAUGAAUUUGGUGUAAGAAAAAAAUAUCUGAUAUAUGUGAUUUACUCCUGGUUUGACCCCUCCCUCCCUCCAUAAAGUUAUCAUUUAACUCCACUUUCGAGAUAAAAUCUUAAACUUCUUUAGAUUUUUUCCUACCCUUGAAAUUGUUAUGAACAUAAGUAAAAGAGAUGAAAACUCCUUUACCCACGUAUCGAGCAUACCCUAGUUACAUAACACUAGUUAAAUCUUGACAUAACAUUUCAAGUUAAUUAAUGGCUAGGAUUUUGUUUAGUGGAUUUUUUUUUGAAAUUAAAUAUCAUAUCAAUAAAUAAAUAGCAACUAAAAAUAUAACUACUAAAAUAGAUAUUUUAUUUUGUUAAUUUUAUUUGAAAAAGCUUUUGAACAUAAGGACUCCAUAUAUAUAUAUAUAUAUAUAUUUUUAUGCUUAUUAUAUUGGAUAUGUUUAAUGCCCCGGUAAUAACCAGGAUAGGAGGCCGACUUAAUUAGAGUUGAUAGGGCACAAAUAUAUAUAUAAUGUGCUCCGAUUAAUACAAAAAUAAUUAUAAUAAUAAUUAAGGUUUGUUUUUUUAUUCAGUUUGUUGUUAUCUAUUUUUAGGUUCUCUCACACAAAACAAAUUUGAAAGAAAACAAAAAAUAUGAACAAUUGAUUUGAUCUUAUGAAAUACAUGGCAGAAGAGAUUAGAAAAUGAUUUCCAUUUGUCAGAAAUACACCCCAAUAGUCUUAAUUUGAAUUGCACUUUGCACUCCUUUUCCAGCGAUCAAUAGCUAGGAAACCUGUCAGUGAAAUCUUUAUUAUUUGCUCCGGGUUGCUGCUGCUGGUUACUCUGUCACGGAUUAUUAUUUUUCAGUAGUCAGUUAUCCUAGUGCUUGCUUGGACAUGCUCAACAAUGGAGUUUCUCUAAAUGUAAUUCCCACAGUGAAAUCUUCUGUCAAAGUCAUUCCAAGCCGGAAAAGAUCAGGAAAAUGAAGUCUUGAAACAUCAAGCGAAUAGAGCCCAGCAGGAAAAAUUCGUUUCUGACGGUGAGAUUUGUAAUGUGAUCCUAGCUAGUAAACCCAAGGUUGUCAAUUCGGUUCCGUUUCGUCCGGAAUGACCGAAACAUUCAUACCAAUUUAAAAAACGGAAUAAAAUGGAAUAAAUUUCAUCUCAUUUUAAAUCUCGAUCUGUUCCGGAUUUUUCAGCUAAAUUCCGCCCGGAAUGUUCUGGUUUCAUUUUACAUGUUCCGUUCCGCUCUUGAAAAGCCAUUGAAUCAAAUUGAACCUUGUUCAAUUUAAUUAAUUAAACCAUCCAAUUAUAAAAAGCUCAUUUUCAUUACUAUUCUCAAUAAUGACACGAUCAAAAGAUUGAUGUCUCUCCCAAGUGCAGGAGUGUUGAAGUAAUAAAUAACCCGGUAAGACCGGGGUCAAACCACAAAGAGGUUAAUUGUAUAAAUUAUAAAUAACAAUAGAACAACAACAAAAACAAUAAUAACAACAAUAACAACAACAAUAAUAACAAUAAUAGUAAUAAUAAUAAUAAUACUCAGUACGUGGCGUUGUUAUACCUGAGAAUGAUCUAAAAGAUCGGGUCACAAGUUUCCAGCCUAUAUACUGAUCGAGUUUAUAAAAAGAUCAAAGAGAUAUAUUAUAUAAUAUAAACAGAAUGUAAAUAAUAAUAAUAAUAAUAAUAAUAAUAAUAAUAGUAGUAGUAGUAGUAGUAGUAGUAGUAGUAGUAGUAGUAGUAAUAGUAAAAAGAAAAGGAAGAAGAAAUUAAUGAGAACUUUGAGAUGGAAGAAUAAUGUAAGGAUUAAACAAUGAUAAAAACAAAUGUCAAGGUUAGAGGAUCCACCAAUGGUAUUUCAAACAAGUAUAGUAUAAACUCUUAUUACUCAAUUUGGAAACCACACACGAGGAGGUUCCAAUCGGAUGAUUUGUCAUUAAUAGCUCAUUAUAAAUUAUUAACAUGAUCAUAUUAAUUAUCUUAUUUACAUAACACCAAACUUUUAAAUAUUCAGGAAUUCAUGAUGUUAACUGAUGUUAACAACAAAUCAAGUUCCUUUCAUAGCCAGGUGUAGGUAAUACCAUACGGUUGGGCUAUGAGAGUGCCAAGCAUUUGUUGUACCAAGUGUUAUACAACACAAAUCUAGAUUAACCAUUUAACAAGCAAGGUAUUAAGAAUUAGUAAGAUAAAAAGAUAAGACAUGUUAAUAUUAAACAUUAAGGUCCAUGUUGAGUUUACACUAUACUUAUUCUUACACCAUUAGUGUAACCUUUUCACCUUGACAUAAUAAACUUAGCUAAACAUAAUGAAGAAGAGAAACAUAAAUAAACAAAACAAGAACAUAAAGAAAAUACAAGUUAACUAAGUAAAGGAAAGGAAAUGAAAAGCAUAAACAAGAUAUUAAUGAAAGCAAAACUUAAAAAUUACAAAAAAAAUAUAAAGAGAGAAAUAAAGAGCAUGAACUUGAUCUGAACAACCAAGCCCCUAAAUACAUGGCAAAUGCCUCCUUUUAUAGGCCAAAAUUCAGAAUUAUUGAUUUGAUGACUAAUUGUUGAGUGGGUGGCCAACUUUUGACUUUGUGAAAAUCCUUAUCUUCUUGUCUGAAUAAAACAAAAUGCUAGCAUCAGAACUGGGUCCACUUGAAAACAUGAAAGUUGUAGGAAAUUGACUCAGCUUUCCAGGAAAAAAAAUGGAGGUCAUUUGGACUUCUAGAACUCCAGAUAUGGGCCAAACACUAAACAAUGUUCGGGCUGCAGGACAGAUUCAGACUUCUCCGUUGUUGCUAUAAUUUGGACUUGCAAACGGCCUUCUUAGAUCUUGAUGAAAACAUGAAAGUUGUAGGCAUAUGUCUUAGUGAAUUUGUGUAAAAAUUUGAGAUCAUUUUGACAUCUAGAACACGAGAUAUGACCCAAUUACCAAACAGUGUUCCAGUUUGGACUGCACCAACAUCUCUUUUCUAAGCUUCACCCUCUUUUUGUCCUUUCAAUUUCCAUACUUGAACUCAUCAAUCAAUCCAUUGAUUUAUAUGAUAGGCCUGCAUUUAAGAUGAACAUUUACCAUAUAUUAAGGCAUUUUAAAGUAUUAGACUUGUUAUUAUAAAACAUUCUUUAGUUAAGGAGUUAUUAAUACUUUAAGUGCAAAAUGAUGAUAUAAAACCUUGAUAAAUAUGCACUUUUAAGUACUAAUCAAGUAACAAUGAUAUUAAUAAUAAUAUUGAAAAUUAUUAUUACUAUUUUCAUUAACAAUGAUAUUAAUUUUUUAAAAUUAGAUUUAUCACUAAUAUAUACGAUUUAUAUUCAUGUUGUUUUUUUCAUGUUUAUACUUUGUAGGAAUUUUAGCAAAAUAAGAGAUUCUUUAGAUUCCAUUAGCCUUGAUAACAUUGACCUAAUUUUAUAUUUUAAAUAUUUUUGUUAAAACAUUUUACUUUCAUAAUAUUUUGAUAUUUUGUUCAAGUUGAAUUACUUUAAGUUAAAGAUUUAUUUAAUAUUGACUAUUUAGAAAUAUUUUAAAUUUUAAAAUUAUAUUUGUUUGGCAUUGUGUUUGUAUUGCUUAAUUUAUAAUUAAUUUAUCUUGAAUUCGAAUUAUGUUUGCUGAAUAUAUAUAUAUAUAUAUAUAUAUAUAUAUAUAUAUAUAUAUAUAUAUGAACAAUACAACCCCGAAACGACACACCGAAAUACUUCAAAACUAAAACAUUUUAUUUUAAUUGAAAAAAAAAAAUACCUACCGGAACGAAAUUGACAAUCUUUAGUAAACCUCAACCAAAGAUCAUAAUGCCAAAAUUGUAGUCAAAGAGACUUGGAACUCCCUGCUGAUGGGCUGUUUAUUCUGCCAAAAUUGCAUGGGCCGUUUUACAGCCUUCGUAAUGGGCUUGGCUACUUUGGGUAGUUAAAAAAACCCAAAUAGAUAAUGUUUUCUUUUCCUUUGGUAUCCGUUUAAUCAAUCUUCUGGUUUGAUCCUUGAUAGUGCUGUGUUUUGAUGCUUGUCGAUUAGCCACAAUAAUGUUAAAUUUACAAGGACAGAUCCAAGAAAAGCAAUGCAGGCCUGUAUUUACUUUCAUAUUAAUUAUUGUUUGAAUAUUCUUAAUCUGAAUGAUAUUAGUCCAUUCAAAACAAAUUCAUUUUCUUUUUUAUAAAUAUAUUUAUAUAACAAUGAAAGAAGAAAAUGCAUUGAUUAAAAUAUUAUUGAUGUGUUUGAAUGAAGAAAGUUAGGGCAGAGAUGACCAAUAUAAAGACCGUGUGGGCCAAUAAAAUGAAUACAAAAAACAAUAUCAAUGGCUUGCAAAAAAAAAAAGUUUUAUGUUAAAUUUAUCUAUAUGUUAAAUUACUUGAUUAACUAAACUUAAUCCUGUAAUAUUAAAUUAUUUGAUGAAAAUAUUAUCUAAAACAUGUUUAAUUGACAUAUUUAAAGUCAAAUAAAAAACAAACCAUGUUUACUGUUAAUAUUAAAAAUUAUUUUUCAACAUAAACUCUUUAACAUAAAAAUUUAAUACAAUUAAAAUAAAUUAUGAUUAUUGUUUGAGCAAUUGAUUUGAUCUUGGACCCUACAAUUAUUUUCGUUAGUCUGUUAAUGUUUUUCUUUAAGCUUGUGGAAUGGGGUGUUCUUCUAAUUUAUUGUGUAAGCUAUUUUGCUUUUUUUUUUUUCAUAGACUUGGGAAGUCAUUUGUUUAAGCAUUUGAUUCUCUGGCAAGUCUUUAAACGCAUUCAUAUUUGUAUUUGGUUAUAUAUUGAAAAAUAUAUAAAUUGUAGGCCCUAUUGUUUAUAUAAGGUAGUACUCGAUUAUGAAAAAGCAAUUAUUUUAUUGCUUUUUUGCAAGUUUAAUCAUUGGUUGAAUUUUUUUAUAUGGCCGGCAUAGUGAAUUCUUAAAAAAAAAAAAAAACAUGUUUAUUAAUUGGGAAUGGAAAUUAUUUUUUCAAUUAUUAAAUUUUUAAAAAAAAUUCAAGAGCACUAAAAUAGUUUUUUUUAAGAAACUUGUUUUUCUUCUUCCACUAGCACUUGUUUUUUUUUUCGUAGACCUGUGAAGUCAAAAUUCCCAAUUAUCCACUACAUUAAUCUCUAUCCCAUCAAAAUGAAUUUGGUCCAAGAAAAAAAAUAUCUAUAUAUGUGAUUUAGUCCUGGUUUUAUAAAUUAAUUAGAAAGUGUAAAUUAUCUGUAUCAUUGAAUAUAUACAAUUUUGUCCUCUUCAUGCAUUUGAUCGGACAGUGACAAUUAUCUGUAUCAUUGAAUUUGCUAUGUUGAAUUAAUUAUCCAAGGGAGACUUGGGCUGCAUUGAAUGGGAGAGUCUUCACGGACAGUGCUAACCAGGGGCCCGCACCACGGCACAGAUCGCUCGGUUUGUGGUGUUGGAUUAAAGGAUAUUAAUUCCAACUUCUUGUUUACUGCUUUGCUUUUCUUCAUAGACUUGGGAAGUCAGGUGCUGUUUAUGAACAAUUGAUUUGAUCUUAUGAAAUACAUGGCAGAAGAGAUUAGAAAAUGAUUAAUAUUAUCAAUAAUUUCUUCUUACUGCACCUACUGAUUUUUAUUUCUUGUGAAAUAUUUAGAAUAUCUCUUUUGAAAUAUCAAUAUCGCCUACCCCCACUUCCUUCAUUUUUGUUAACGGAGUGAAAUGAUUUCCGACGCAGCUACUAAUUUCAUCAGCCACUUUCACUUGUUUUUAUUCAUAGACUUGGGAAGUCAAGAUUCCCAUAAUCAAAAUGAAUUUGAUCGAAGAAAGGAAAAAAUGAAAAAAAAAAAAAAACAUUACCAGUGGCUUACAAAAAAUAAAUAAAUAAAACCAUCAAUUACGAGCUUCAUAAGAGAAUUUUAGCUAUUUUGUCUUAAACUCAACAGAAUAUUCUUUAGGAAGCGUUGGGAACGGUGCAAACCGCGUUCCCACCAAAUUUUAAAUUUUUUUUUGUUAAAAUUUAAUAUAGUUUGUAUUUUUUGGAUUGUUUUGAUGUGCUGAUAUUAAAAAUAAUUUUUAAAAAAUAAAAAAAUAUCAUUAACAUAUAUUUUAGUACAAAAAAUUAUUUUAAAAAUAACUAUUAACAUACUUACAAACAGGACAGUUAAUCUUCAACUAAUCAACCGAUGAUCAUAAAUGAUGCCAAAAUUGUAGUCAAAGAGACUUGGAACUCCCUGCUGAUGGGCUGUUUAUUCUGCUAAAAUUGCAUGGGCUGUUUUACAGCCUUCGUAAUGGGCUUGGCUACUUUGGGUGAUUAAAGAAACCUAAAUCGAUAAUGUUUUCUUUUCCUUUGGUAUCCGUUUAAUCAAUCUUCUGGUUUGAUCCUUGAAAGUGCUGUGUAUUGAUGCUUGUCGAUUAGCCACAUAAUGUUAAAUUUACAAGGACAGAUCCAAGAAAAGCAAUGAAGGCCUGUAUUGGUCUCUGAGAGUUCAAAAUAAGACCCCCUGAUAAAGGCUGCAAUCAUUGCUUGAACCCCUGUAAAGGGGCCUUGACACAUGCGGUCCACUGAAGAAGUACAGCACCGUUCUUUAUUUAAUUCUUAUGGUUUAAAUCUACUAAUGACUUAGUCAUUUUGCAUGCUAUUUUUCCACUUGUUUUCUAAAAUAGAGAAAAGAACUGUUAAGCAUGCUGGAUAUUUCGCAUAAUAAGCUCUCCGGUCCUUUAUCCGGAGAGCUUAAUUUAACUUUCAUGGCAAACGAUGCAAAAUGCUAUGUAUCUUUUACUUGGCCUAGUAUUCAAUAUUUUGAUCAGUCAAAUCUUGUACUCAUGGGUUUGCCUCAAGUAGGCGAUUCUUAUCGUGAAACUAAGUACACAAACAACAUUGCACAUUAAUCUGUCGAGUUCUCAACAAAAAGACAGUCUUACUCCUAUCGAGAUGAUCUUAUUACUUUCAUGUCUGGUAUUGAUUUUUCUUGCAACGGAUUCACUGGCAAAAUCCCACCAAAUUUAGAGAUUGUAAGUGAGCUACGAGCGGUAAAUCUAUCACACAUCAAUCUCAUUGGAUCCAUCCCCGCAACUCUUUAGAACCUGAAGCAGAUUGAGAGUUUGGAUCUUUCUCACAGCAAAUUGACCGGUAUCAUCCCUUCGCAGCUUAUUGAGGUGAGCACAUUGGAGGUUUUCAGUGUUGCAUACAAUAACUUGUCCGGUAAAACUCCAGAGAGGAAAGCUCAGUUCGGCACCUUUGAUGAAAGUAGUUAUUAAGGAAAUCCUCUUCUUUGUGGACCUCCAUUGUGAAUUUGCAGUGAAACAAACUCGUAAUUGCAGCCUGUACCUAAUAAUGAACAAGAAGAUAAUAAUGGUUUCAUAGACAUGGAUGCUUUCAUUGUGAGCUUUGAGGCAUGUUACAUAAUUGUCUCGUUGGCAAUUGCAGCAGCUCUUUACAUAAAUCCUUACUGGAGAAGAAGAUGGUUUUACUUCAUUGAAGAGUGCUUAAGCAAUCGCUACUGUUUUGUGUGCAGACGUAGGCACAUCUUCAGAUGGACAUAGGGGUUGAUGCUUGCCAUUUGUUCUCAGUUAUACUAAGAAAGAAUGAACCGCGACUCUGUCCACCAUUCUCUCCUGUGCAUGAACAAAUUAGUGAAGGAAUAUUUGCAGUGAUAUAUGUUAAUGGUUUCCUGACUUCAUUAGAAUAUUUUGCUCCCAUUUUCUUUGCUCCAUGAACUGAAUAUAUAUUGCAACAUAAUUGUGGUGUUGUCAAUCACAGCAAUUAUGCACAUAAAUCCUUACUGGCGCCGCAGGUGGUUUUACUUCAUUGAAGAAUCGCAACUAUUAUGCUGCUGUUUUCUAGUGGUUAGUUUCCGUAAGCUGUCCAACAUCAUGUCAUCGAACCUCUGUAUAAUCAUUCAAUUAGAUGACACAUUUAAAAAUUUUAAAAACUAAUAAUACUAUAACUAUGAAGAACACCUAAAAUAUUUAAUUUUAUUCUUCCAAGUCUCUGCUAAACUAAUGAUACACAAUUGUGGUACUAGCAAUUGCGGCAGUUUUGUACAUAAACCCAUAUUGGCGACAUAGGUGGUUUUACUUCAUUGAAGAGUGCAUGGAGACUUGCUACUACUUUGAAUUGCAUACAUUUCAUAAGCUAUCCUCCUUCACAAGGCCAUAGGGAUCUGACGCGUGCCUUUUGUUUUUUCAUAUUUUUUAGUUUGAACUAAUAAAACCUUUACUUUUUUUCAAGCUUCAGUUCAUUUUAUUGCAGUUUCUCAAAUGAAUUCUACAAAUUCAAGAUAUAUAUCCAUCCUUAAUGCCAUAUUAAAGAGAAUAUAUAGAGAGAAAAAGAGGAGCUUUACGUGAUAUGGAUAGCGUGAUGCUCCUAAGCCUAGAACCAGCUAAAACUUAAUAUUAUGAUGAAUAAUUCAGCAAAACUUAAUUCAAUUUCAACUUCCAAUCUCAUCAUUAGUACAAAAUGCACAGUCAGAUUGAAAGGAAAUUGAUUGGAACUUGAAAUUCGGGUAACAAUACUUCUAGCAGAGCUUCCUCCUUACCCUCUCCCUAUUGUAUCUUCUUCGAGUGGAACUCUAGCUUUUUGCCCUCCAAGAUAUAUGUUCUCAUCUUUCUCCAGUACUCUCUUUUCCAUCCAGCAUAAGCAAUCACAACUUACCUCAACGGAAAACUUUAUAGCCAACUUCAACCAAUAUUUAAAAGGAAUUUUGUCCUUUGUUUAAUAAGCAAAAUCAACAGAACCUGUCUUUGACUUUCUAGCUCAUAUAUAGCAGUAGCCAUUUUAAGGAGCAGAAACAAACACUGUAGAGAUUUAUCAUCACGAAAAUCUGGUUGAUUUAUUAUCACGAAAAUCGAAAAUCUAGUUGAUUUAUCAUUACGAAAAUCUAGUUAAAACAAAUUAAUAUGAAAUCAAAUCGAGGAUGAAAGGUUGAUUUUGAGAUCAAGAAUAGCAUAUAUUAAAAAGAUAAUAAAUAAAAUUAGAGUAAUAACAUUGAUACAACUUAUCAUUAAAUUUCAUUUGCAAUUUCCUCUCGAUUUUCUGUAGUUCUGUAGAGACAAAGAUUAGUUGGUCCUUACGGGAAUUUUUCUUCCUUAAUUUCACUCCCAUUUCCCAAACGAUGGAAUUCAUACAACCUUUCGAUUUUAUUUCCACGUAAAAUCCAUUCUUCUCUAUCAAACAGAACAUAAUAAUGGGCCAUAUUUUAAUUUAAAUAUCUUUUUCCUAAUAUUUAAAGCUUUUUUGCUGGGAAAAUAUCAUGGGGAUUUGAGAGAAAAGACAAUAGAUAAGAAAGCACAUGAAAAAAAGUGAGAGAAAAUGAUGGUGGGUCUUCAUUAUUCAAGGACCGUAUUGGAACUCUUUGGAGGCAUGCGUGAGAGGUGAAAUGGAAACGUAUAGGGACCAAAUUGUUAUUUCAAUGAAUAUAUAGGGCUUAAAAUGCAAUUUACCCUUAAUUUUUUCAUGGAUGACGCAGUCACAAGGAGAGGAUAUAUAUAUGUCAUUUCUGAAAUGAGAAGACAGGCAGUGGCAAUAAGUAAAAUUUCAUAAAUCAUCAUCAAUCAAAAAUCAUGACGUGGGGACAGAUUAGACGGUUGAUUGUGACUUUUUUUACCCUCUCUUUCUCCCGGUGGGGGGUUUUAGGACAGUAUCGCGCGAGAUGCGCGGGCGCUGUGCUCUUACAUUUCCAAGGUGUAUAGUGGGAUCCAUGUCUUUAUUAAACCAAUUAAACCCACUGGGAUUCUAGUUUUUUUUUUUAAAAAAAAAACAUUUCAUAAAAGUCCUCAAACUUCGAGUCUCAUCUCUAUCAUAGCAAUAUUAUAAUUUUUAUUCAUUUUUAGUUAACAAAAAGUUUAUGUAAUCAAUUGAAGUUUAUAUGGUUUUUUUUUAUAUAUAAAAAACCAAUGAAUUCUUUAAAAAUCUCAUUUUAAAUCGCUUGAAACUAAUUUCAUAAAGAAACACAAAGAUUUUACAUUUAUAUAAUUUGUUUAAUUACAUAAACAAAUUAUAUGAUAAGAUGAAGAGAUAUCACAUAAUUGUUUGAUUUUAUAACCCUUUAAAACAAACUCAUCAAAAUAUUUAAUCCAAAUUCUGAAUAAGUAACCAUAUCUAAUGUAGAUAGUUUUGAAUAAUUUGAUAAUUUUUAAUAGUCAAAUGUAGAUUUAUCACAAUUUAGAUCAUAAAUAUAUAACCCAAUAAACUCAUAAUAUGAACAAAUAUAACUGGGCUAACUUAAGAAAAAAAACAAAUUGGUGCAAAAUGACUAAUCUAACUAUAAAAGUUUAAAUUUUAAUUUGACCUCAUGGAAAUCAUUCUCAAAUUUAAUUAGGAGAUUUUAUGGUUUUAAUCUAAAAAAUUUUGCAUUUUAUAUUGUAAAAACCUAUAUCAUAUCAAGAUUAAACUUCAGUAAAAAAAAAUAUUAGAAGGAGAGUUUUUUUAUAUAUAGAAUUACGUUAUAAAAAAAAUAUUAGUCUAACUUAAGUUUGGAAUGAAAACUUAAGUGAAAUUUAACAGUCUGCAACAACAAUCCUUUACCAUCCACCAUUAAAUGAUCAACAGAUUUUUUUAAGGACAAUAUAAAUUCUGAAAGAGCGUAGACAUGAAUGACAGCCAAGAACCACCCAACAGCCAUGCAGGGUCUAGUCUGCAUGGCAAUGGUCCACUCAAUCGCUGAAUCCACAUGAACAGUCUAAUGAACUGCUCAACAUGCAUUUGGUUCUGGUAAUUCAAUUAUGCGAAGGGUGUAGGUCCGAAUUCUUCAACUUAAACAAACAUGUUUGCGUAAUUAAGUGUUCAAUCACGUACUUAAUUUGCUAUUGAAAACAUUUAGAAUUUAUCAACAAUUUAAUUAAGCAGGUGUAUACAACCUUCCAACAUUAUGGAAUAAAAAUAUGACAUUUGGCGUUCUCAUCACAUAUUAUGAACUGUUAGGAUGUUGCAUGAAGUAUUAUCUGAAUAUAUAUGUUAUGAACUGUUUGCAUGAAACAUGUUAGGAACUGUUAGGAUGUUGUCGCAUAACUAUUAUCAUGCUACAUAACACUAUUUCAGUUGUGCUUGCAGGUAUACAUUAAUGAAGCAUUUGUUCAUGAUUGAACUAUCUGAACUACUUACAUGCCAAUUCAUUCUCAUGAUGUUUUGUCAUAAAUCAACUAAAGAGGGAGAUUGUAAAUGUCAAAAUGUUUGGUUUUGAUUAGUGAAAGAUUAUUUGCGUUGUUGAAGAUUAUUUUGUUUAGGUUUCUACUUUAUUCAAAUUAGAUAAUGAAUUAGUCAAAUUUAUCUCAUAGGAUAUAGCAUGAUUAUUUAUGUAAUUAUCUAUGGAUAAAUUAUAUAGGAAAUUCAGAUAAGUUUUAUAAAAAAAAAGAUAAAUACAAGUUAUCGGAAGAUAACAAUUAGAGAAGUGUUUUUGUGAAACAUGUUAGCAGUUUUUUAAGAAUGUAACAAACUAGGAAACUUAAAGAUAAUGUUUAUUAAAUGUUCUUAUCCUUUUCACAUGGAUGUGUAUAUAAAGAAGGACAAUCAGAAGCAUUUGAGAGUUGCAUUGGAAGCAGAGAAAGAGUGCUCAACCAGCUAAAGAGUUACACAAAGUUUCACAGCAUGUACUCUUGGCACACAAGUAGAGUGUGAAGAAAAUUCUCAAGGAGAAUUGUUUUAAGAAGAGUUGGAGAGCCUGCAUACUUUCAGGGGGAGUUCCUAUGUUAACUAUUGGCAACUAGAUGUUUCAGUUAGGAUGAGAAUAAUUUGAAGAUUGUUAGUUGUUCUGGCAAGUUAUUGCAAUAGAAGACAAAAUAGAGUGUUUGUCUUGACAAGUAAGGUAGUAUAGAUGCAAAGGAUUGGUAGUGAAAAAUACUCCUCUUGUAAUCUUCUAUACUAGAUAAAAUUUGUAUAUCUUGAAUUUGGCUGCCUCAUAUGGUUUUUUUUUUAAUCUUUUAAAAGUUCUUCAGAAUAUUUUCUCUUCAUAACCAAAUAAUUUGUUUAUUUAAGUUUUCUUGUUAAUAUACAUGGAACAGAAACAAGACUAUUAGUUAUUAAAAAUGAUAAAUAUUUUAGAAUCUUGUAUUUUCACAUUUUCCAUAUUAUAUAAUAUACAGUGUCCAAAGUUUGCAAGCAGGUCAUCAAUGUUGAAUUAUGAUUAAAUUAAUAGCAUGUAUUAUUAAUAUUAAUAUCCGCGUUUAUCAUAUGGAUACCUUUAUUAAUUGAUUUGUUGUUCCCUUUUCCCUUGUGUAGCUAUUUGGUUUGGAAUGUGCAUCCGCGCCAAUACUAUUUAAUUGCAAUUCUCUUCAUCAUGUGAUAUAAUUAAAUGAUUAAAGUCAAGCCCAUACGUCCGCAACAGUACUCACCAUAUAUAUAUAUAUGAAAAUAAACUUACUAUUUAUUUAGUAAAAUAAAAAUUAGUUGAAAAGUCUUUAUUCAUUUUCACAAUAAACAACGAUAAAUAUCCACACAUAAAGUUUCAACACCAAGAACCAUUACAAAAACUUGGUACGAACCAUGCAUCCACACAUGGUAUGGACCAAACACCUUAACUAUUCAUAAAAACUUUAACUAUUUAAGUUAAUAAAAGCAUAGAGAAAAAUAUAAACAGGCAAAAAAGAUGAAAAUUGCAUAAUAUAUUUUUGAGUUGUGAAUAUGUUUUUGUAAAAAUAUCACUAGGGUGAUAUUUAGAGCGAAGACAAGAGUAUUCUCCCCGGCCCCUCCUUAAAUUUCCCCGUCCUUUAAAAUGCCCCCAUCACUAUCAAAUAAUUCCCUGCACACAGCCCUGUGUGAGGGGUAAAGUCACGGGAUUAUUAGUGGAGCAAUUUGCUCCACUAACCAAAUAAACUAAGUACUCCUGUCAAGUGGAGCUCUAAAGACAUAUCUUAUAAUAAUAAUAAUAAUAAUAAUAAUAAUAAUAAUAAUAAUGGUGCACACGCUUCAUCAUGCCACUUUUUUGGAAUAAUCCUUGUAUUAUAUCAUUGCUCACAAACAGGAUACUUAUAAAAAAAUAAAAAAACAGAAAAUACAAUGGGACGUGAUAAACAGGAUAGCUCACGGAAUUUCAGAUCUAAAUCAUGGAAUAAAAUCAUCUCUGUCUUGCGUGAUCGAUCGUGUAAUCUUUGUUCUUUUUUAAAAAAGUCGCAACCGCACACUUAAAAAACUGCAAAAUCACAUCUUUCUUUCUAUCUUCCGUUGCCAAGCAUUAUUUUCAAACUCCUUACGAAGAUUUUUUGUUUGUAGAUCAAGUGGUCAAGUAAACAUCGGUUCUAUUUGGGAAUGUAUUUGUACUGAAGUUAAUUUAUUAUUAUUAUUUUAAAUUAAAUUGUUUUGUUUUCAAAUUAUUUUAAUAUGUUGAUAUUAAAAAAUUUGACUUGACCCACUUUCUUCAGCAUCUAGUGUAAUAACUAAAAUCAAACGGCAUUGCAUUUGGUGUAUAAACUAUAAAGGUGUCAGAAGUGUGAUAUCCCACUUUCUUCAUUAUUAGUCUGUAACAACCUUCUCGUUUCCUUAUAUCACUACUGGCCAAAUUGAAGUUUCUCAAAUUCUAAAGUUACAGUUUUAAAAUUAUAUAGGAAUUGAGAGAAAAUUCUGAUAUUUUUAUUGAAAAGUUAGUAAUUCAAUAAUCUAAUCUUAAAACAAUACUCCCUUUGUUGAUAUACAAGUUUAAAACCGACCUAAUCAAAAGAAUUAAAAACUAAGUGAGAAAAAUAAUUAAAAUUCAAAAUUAAUUAAAAAAAUAAUUAAAACUACACAAAUGGAAUCUUCUAUGCCUAAUUUAAAAAGAUUUAUGUCGUGGAUAUAGAAUCAUCUAGAGUACAAUUCAAUAGUUGAAUAUAAAAUUAUGAUUGUUUUAGAUCCGUUUCAUCUUAUAUUAAUGCUUUGAAUUAUAAUAAAAAUAUUAAUAUUUAUAACACAAAUAAUAAUAUUUUCAAUAUUUAUACAUUCAAUUAUAAUAAAAAUAAUAAUAUUUAUGGCACAAAUAAUAAUAAUAAUAAUAAUUUUUAAUUUUAUCCUUCAAAACAACUAUAUGAUUUUUCUUUAAAGGUUAUUAUUAUUAUAUUAUAUACAUAAAGCUAAAUCAUAUGGGAAAAGUCAUGUUCAUCAAGACCCAUAGCACUACGGAUUGCACAUUUGAUGGGGCAUGGUGUGCUGCAGCCCCACACACUGACACCUGGUGCAAGGGCAUUCAUGCCUAGCCACAAAGAGUUCCAAGGCUGCAUGGGGGAGAGGUUAAGCCCCAGGUUUCGAACACCUGGUGUUGGGUCCGCUGACCUGCAUGCUAGGUCCGAACAUGGACCCCCUUCUAUUGGGUCAGGCGUCCUCACCCAAAUCACUUGGGUCUAGACAAGGGUCGAGCCCUUAACCCCCUUGGUUCUGUCCACGGUCCAAUCCCAUACCCCUUAGGGUUCAGACAUGGCCUCAUCCCCAACGCCCUUGGGUCUAACCACGGACGCAAACCCCAACCUGAUUGGGUCCGGACACGGAACCAACCCCCUUGGGUCAAGACAUGAACCCAUCAGGUUUGGUCCUGACGCGAACCCAACACACCAUGUGUCCGUACUCCGAAGGACCCAAACACCAACCCCCUUGGGUCCAGACAAGGACCCAACCCCCCUUAGUCUGGACACGGACGAACACAACCCCUUUAGGUCCGGAUGCGAAAGGACCCAAACUCCUUAGGUCCGGACACGAAAGGACUCAAACCCCAACCAAUUUGGGUCUAGAUACUGACCCAACCCCCUUGGGUCCAGAAAUGGACCCAUCCCCCUUGGGUCCAGACACGCCCCAAUCCCCAACCCCCUUGGGUCCAGACACGUCCCAGUUGGGCCUUGGGUCCAGCCAUGACCCAAAUCAAAAUUAGAAUGUUAAUGAACUCACCAUUGCCAUUAAGCUCCAUUGAGUGUAAACAAUGAAUUUAUAAAAUAGUCAAAAGUGGGAUGUCGUGAUUUCAACAAUGCCGUUUCAGAAAAUUGAUAGUCAUGAUGAAAAUAAGAAUACAGAAUUGUUGAGUUGAAACGUGUACGCCUGAAAUGUAUAGUGAUGAUGGUGGAACUGAUGCGGUUGUAUAGCAGCACCAAAAAGUACUUUCCUAAUGAUUUCCUUGCGGAAGAAAUUAUGGCAUGUUGGAAAACGAUGCCACCCUAACAAUCCAAGAGUUCAAAUUCAACUUGAAUAAAAGCAUGCUAAUUUAGAGGAGAAAGGAUCCAAGAACAUCAUGAAACAGGGGAUUGUUCUAUUUUGUUAUGUAACAAUCUCAACAGCUAAUUAAGAGGUUAGAUUGUAGGGUCUAAUUUCAAAUGCAAGACUCUAUUGAUUCUCAUCAUUAUAGUAAUAAAACCAUGUACAUUUUUAUUAAAUUAAGAGGAAACACAAAAUUAAACAAGAAAAUCUUAAGAUUUCAGAAAUAAAUCUAACAUUGUCGAACGGAUUGUGACCAAACCCAGAUUUGGUGGAAGAUAGAAAUAUGAAAAGAGAGCAGAAAUUGAUGGUCUCUUCUGCUUUUCCUGGCCUCCUUGUUUUGCAUAUAAGGUUCGGCCAUCUAAGCCUUUCAUGGGGUUUGAAUUUCCUGGCCUCCUGAGUUAAUUUCAUCUAACCCAUAUAAGGCUAGACUUGAAUAUUUCUAUAUAUACACUUAAGGCUGGAUGAGCUUGUCUCCUUAGCAGGCCUUCUUAGGCUUUUGUGCUGCCAAACUAUGUCAGCUCUAAGCUCAUUAUUAUCUGAAUGAAAUCAUUGCAUACUUGCUAUCAAGAAGAUUUUUUUCCUGAUGGAUUUCUCUCACAUUGCAACAGCAGUAAUCAAUCAUGGCACCCAACUCAGUUGAAACGGUGAUCGGUACAAUGACUUCAAGUCACGGUUACCUCUUCUUUUCUUUUUCUUUCUUUUUUUUUGUUACGAAAAAACAAGUAAAGUGUAUAUCUAUGAAAUUAAGUUACAGAAAAUGUAAAAUACACUUGUCAUGGCUGAUUGAAAUCGUGGAAGAAAAAACUAGAGGAAAGAUAAUCGAUUGACCCCCAACGAAGACCAAUGCAGAGGAAUUUCAAAGGGGAAAAACGGUGGCGGCUUUAUGAUGCAGUUCAUCUAAAGAUAAACCUAACCUGAAUUAAUUGUUCGGUCUCCUUCAAAGCGAAAUAACUUUGCCAGGUUUCCUCUCAGUGACAUUACAUUUUUAAAGUUAAAAGUGCUGAAGCACAAUUCAAAGAAUAAGUAGUAUUAAACUUAACAAGCUAGUUCAAUGGAGGAGAAUGGUGUGCUGAAACACUAAGAUUUUCAAAAAAAUUGAAGCAUAUCAGAUCCAUGCUGCUGCAUUCGCAAGAAACUAGCACCCAUCAACAAUGUGCUAAAUGUCAAUGCAGAGCUUUAAAUCAUCUACAGAGGCUCAUGAAGAAUAUAGGCAUAAAUGAUAACAGAUAACACACCAGAGCACUCUACGUAAACUGAUAUCUUUAGAAAAUUCAAAGGCAUGAAUGAAAAAGAAAAGCUAGAAAUAUCUAAGUCAGCUCUUAAUUUGUAACAGUCCACAACUUCAUGUUUGGUGUGUACUGUAAACUAUGCUUUCCACAUAAUCAUGAGCUUCAUCUGCAAAAAACCAUUUUCACUUCUUGGGACAAGGGAUCAAAAAAAUACAAACCUGUUGUUGGAUUACAUUCAUAAUUUAUAUCAAGCCCUAGCUGCUGCUCGAAGGAAGUCUUUCAAGGAAAAAAAUCAGGAACAAAAAAUGCUGAGAGGUCCAUCUUGGAGGUCAGAAAGCUGGAGUUCUACCUAGAAGAAGAUACCUCUGGAGAGAGUAAUAAAGGAAGCCUGAACUGCUUAGAGUUCUCUUACCGAAGCUUCAAGUUAAGAUCAUUUUCAUUUCAAUUUGGAUGUAGAAAUAAUGAUGGGAUAUGAAAAUUAGGUUAGUUAUAUUUUGAAAAAGGGUAUAUAUGAAAGUUAAAUCCUCUGUUCAAAUGAACAAAGGGCUCAACUUGAGCAAGAGUUAACAAGCUAUCCAUCGAGGUCAAUGGAACAUACCACUGAUAUUAAUCUUUUACUAUUUAGGGGAAUUCAUAAAUCCCGUAUUACAAGAAGCCAAGAAUUGGUUGGUUGCUCAGCACAACAUAACUGAUACAAACAAUUACUGAUACAAGCACAAGGACAAACACAAGUCACAUCAAAACAGAAAGGCUAAGCAACAAGAACACUUCCACAGAGCACUUCUCACAGGCAAAUUGCUAAACAUGCAGUGAGCAACCAUUGAUUUGGAAUGCGACUGCUUCUCCACAGAGGAUUACAACAAAUUCAGAAAGCAGCCCACACGCUCCUGAUAAGAUCCAAUCACGUUCUGAAUCUGGACAACUUGCAAAAGUUUAUAGCCAAAAAGCUGUAGCAAGUGUCAAUGCAUUCUUCAAUGAAGUAAAACCACCUACGUCGCCAAUGCGGAUUUAUGCACAAUACUGCUGCAAUUGUCAACACCAUAGUUAUGUAAAACACACCAAAGCUGGCAUAGAAACUGUCCAUGUCUAUGAAGCCACCAUCUCCAUUGAAAUCGUUAGGCACUCUUGCGGAUGGUGAUUCUGUUUUGUCGCAACUGUUUUGCAAUGGAGGUCCACAAAGAAGAGGAUUCCCUUUAUAACUGCUCUCAUCAAAGGUACCAAAUUGAUUUUUCAUCUCCAGUGUUCUUCCUGACAAAUUAUUGUACGACACGUUGAAAACUUCUAGAAAGGUCAGUUCAACGAGUUGUUCUGGAAUUCUCCCAUUCAAGGUGUUGUGAGAAAGAUCCAAGCUCUCUAUCUGCUUCAGAUUGGAGAAAGAUGGAGGGAUCAAUCCAGUGAGAUUAUUUCGCGACAGAUUUAGAGAGUAUAUCCCACUUAAGUUUCCCCAUUCUGUCGGGAUUUCUCCAGUGAAUCUGUUACAAGAAAGGUCCAUAACAGACAUGUAACGAAGGAUAUCGCCUUCGUAAGAGUAGAAAUUUUUCUUUGUUGUAAGCUCUACAGAUAUUUUUACACUGAUCUCUGGCCACAAAAUUUUGCCAUAAAGAUAAAAACCUUCGUGCUCCAAUUCUCUUUCCCCCAUGGAUGCAAAUAUUUCUUUCCGGCUUCCAUCAUCUUGUGAGUACGUACUAGUGACAACCCAAGUUUUUUCAUAUGAUGCCGUAAAAUCUAAAUUGCUCAAACAUGAGGGUAACAGACUAGAAAAAUUAUUUUCUGAAAGAUCCAAUAUGCUUAAUUUCCUUAACAAGCAUAAUUGAACAGGAAGUUCCCCAUUGAAUUGAUUAGAUUUCAAAAGAAGAAAACUCAAUUCCGAAAGUCUAUCAAUCCAAUUUGGAAUUGGCCCAGUUAAGUUGUUAUAGCCGAGAUCUAAUGUCACCAAAGAAGAGAUGUUAUAAAAAGCAUUUGGCAGUGGACCGGUCAAUCGAUUUCCGUAUAGGUGGACAUAGCGUAAAUGCGGUGCAUAAAAGCCCAACGGCAAAGACCCAGACAAAUUGUUUUCAGAAAGAUCUAAAAAUUCAAGCCUAGAAGGAUUGAAAUAUUCUUUUGGAAUGGUACCUUCAAACUGAUUUCUGGACAAAUCAAUUGCCUGAAAGGGGUAUAUUGAAGAGUUCCCA